rnacentral:lncRNA from 1 species
UUCGAUUGAAUCUGUGGCCUGUGAAUACACCAUGUAUCUUUGGUGCGCUCAGCUGGCGGACAGUGAAAAUCCUCAACUUGGGGCAUCUAAAAACAUCCACUCGUUCUAAAGAUGGGAAAUUGAAAGUGUAACUGCCCAAGAAGAAGCAUGUGAGGUUCUGUAAAUCUUCAAGUUCUAAUGUUUUCAUCUUACUGAAAACAAUCUCAUCAGUUGAUCCAUCCUCUUCAACACCUCCUAUUAUUUCGGUCAACAUAUUGCAAGAUCUUACGAUCAAUGUUUCAAGUUGCACCAUACUUUUGGCUGCGGCUGAUGUAAAAAUAUUUGCCAAUGUGUUGCAUCCAUAUACUUUGAGAGUUUUCAGAUUUCCCAAAGACACAGAGGAUGGUGCUAAAACAAUCAAAUCUGCACAAGACUUUAUCUGAAGAGUCUCAAGAGACUGAAGUAAUGGGUCACGCAGUUGACAGUCUGGGUUCCAUAUAUGCUUCAAGAGACUGAAGUAAUGGGUCACGCAGUUGACAGUCUGGGUUCCAUAUAUGCUUCAGAUCAUGAAUAUUGUAGAGCUUUAAAUCUCUUAUAUGUGGAAUUGCGGUGAUAUCUUUUUGGUCACCACCCAGUCCUUCUGGAAGUAGUUUGUCGAGAGAAGAAUCAAGAACUUCAAAUCUUUCGAGAUUGGGGAAUAUUGGAAGUAAACUAAACAGAGGAACAUGAUAUUUGUUUAGAAAGAAACUCAAUUCAAGAACUUUUACUUUGGAAAAGAAGCCUGUUGGAAAUUGAAAUCCAAGUAUGGUUAUGGUAGACUUCUUGUCUAACGAAAACUUUUCCAAAUUUGAAAACAUCUGCACAUCAGCAAAUAAAAAAAUUCUAAUUAGUAAAAGAUUAUUAAUAAUAAAUCCCCCUGUUACUUAUAAAAAUUCAUAAUAUAUUUAAUUAAUUAAUAUACUAAUUUCUAUAUUAUAAUAAACAUGUAUUAUUAAAGUUUAAUGUGGAGCAAAAUUAGAUAUAAAAACUAUAAAUAUAUUUAUUAAAGUAGAAAUAUAGUAAAUAUAUUACAUAUCUCACUAUUUAUUUCUUUUUAUCUUCAAAUGUUUAAAAGAAUUACUUGAUUUUCUUUAGCUAUAUUUAAAGUUUUAUAUUUAUUUUUUUUAUUUUAUUAUUUUUAUUAAUACAAAUAUUUUUAUAUUAGCAUAAAUGGUACCCUUAUUUUUGUAUAAAAUUUUUGAAAUGUAUUUAUAAACUUACAUGUCAGUAAAUUUUAAUGAUUAUUAACCGAUAAACUUAUUUAAUGGGUAUAAAUUUAAAGUUUAUUAAAAUAAAUGAAAAAUAUAAAAUUUUUAUAUUAUCUUGCACUUUUUUUACAAUUAUUAUUUUUAUUUAUUUUUAAGUGUUUUUUUAAUUACAUUCUUAACAUAAUUUAUUAAUAUGGUUGGACUGCAAAAUUUAUGUCUUUUUUAUUAAUUAUAAAAUUAUAAUAAUCUCAUUAGUUAAAAUUUUAAGUUAAAAAAAAAAAAGAAAUCGACAUUUUAAAUUUACAUAAUAUUAAAAAUUGAAAAAAAAAUUAACAUUGUAAAUAUUUUUUAAAUAUAAAAAUUAUUUAAAAUAAAAUAAACUAACGUAUAAAUUAGUAUUUUUAUAGUUUUCAAAUGCAAUGUUUGAGAUUGAUAUGCUUAAUUAAAAUUUCUCUAAUAGAAAAUUUUGAAAAGUUUCUCUAAUAGGAAAAUUAAAAAUUUGAGUAAAAAUUAAAACAUAUAUAUAUAUAUAUAAAUUUACAUGUUUAAUUAAAAUAUUUAAUGUUUCGACAAUUUUAGUUCAAGUUAAUAAAAUUUAAUUUGAAUUUAUGUGUGUAAAAUGAAUUUAAAUAAUUAAAAUAAAAUUAAUGUAUUUUUUAUUUUAAUUUUUAUUGAGGAAAAUAAAAUUUUAUUUUAGUCAAAAUUUUCAAUAAUAAAUAUGGUAAAUUAACUAAAUUCUUAACGUAUGAAUUUUUUUUUAUAUAUUUUUAAUGAAGAGUUUUAUAUGAUUUUUUUUUGAAAAAACACUUAUUUUUUUAAAAAAAUAAUUGAAAAGAAAAAUUAACAUUAUAAAUAUUUUUUAAAUGUAAAAAUUAUUUAAAAUAAAAUAAGCUGACGUAUAAAUUAGUGUUUUUAUACUUUUCAAAUGCAAUGUUUGAGAAAAGAAUGAAUAGAAAACUAACCUUAUGAAGAAAAGGUGUAUGAAGCUCAUCAAUUGUGUUCACCAGUGUCUGCAUGGCAAAGAUAUUCUUUAAGUUUGGACAUUCAUGUAUGCUCAUCUCCUCCAACAAUGGACAUUCCACAUUACUCCAUCCCGAACACAAUCUGGAAAAUCUAGGCAAACAUUUAAGGACUACAGAUUUUAAUGAAGGCAAUAAUAUCAUCUUAUCAGCUGCUUCCUCCUUUUCUAUGAUUCCUUCAAUCAUCUUACAAUUGUAUAUUUUUAUCUCUUCAAGUUGAACGAGGCGCGAUGCCAUCGACCAGGUAAAAAUAUACUUCAAUCUGCUACAGUUUCCAACAUGAAGCCACUUUAGGUUCUUGAACUCCAAAAUUCCUAUGGGAUCCUUGUUCCAUAAAUGUCUCAACAUUGGCAGACUUGUUAAUUCCAAUUUCCUUAGUCGGGGAAGCAGCCCAUCAACUGCAGAUAGCCCUUCCAAAUCAAAUACUAUUUCUGCUGAAUCACAGUCUUUCACCUCAAGCUCUUCCAACUUGUUUAAAAACACCAGUACAUUGGACGGUAUAGCUUUGUUAUACAUUGCACAUUUAUCCACCUCAAGCCUUUUUACAUUGCGUAAGAGUCUCCCUUGCAUCCCAUCAUGCCAGAGCUCAGGAAAUGCAGAUGCUUUAAAAUAUUGGUAAAAUGUCUGAUCCCACAAGACAAAGGGAAAAACAAAUGAACUGACUUAUCAUAAACAUAUAACAUAUAUGCAUGCAACAGAUAUCAUGAAAAUUAAGAAGAAAGCAUGAGAAUAAAUAUGCAAAUACCAUUUCUGCUAGUGUUGCAUUAAGGUUUCCCUCCCAACGCUGUUGAUGUUCCAGGAGUAUUCCUCGUAGUUUUGGUGUAUUUAGAAGUCCGAAAGCGAAAAUCUUCAUCCGGGAGCAUCCAUUGACGGUAACAUUUUCUAAAGCUGGAAAAUUGAAAGCGUUAUUCCCUGAGCAAAAGCUGAUGAGAUGAGGCAGAUCAUCAAGUUCCAAAAAUUUCAGUUUGUCGAAAUUAAUAAUCUCAUCCUCUGUUUGAUCGUCUCCAUCGCUGGUCACUAUUUCUGUCAUCCUACUGCAAUCUCCUACUGUCAUUUUGGUGAGUUGCACCAUGGACUUGGCUGUAGACGCUGUUAUCAAGUUUGCCAAUCCUUCACAGUAAAUCACUUCAAGAGUUGCUAGAUUUUGGAAAGAUGAUGAGGAUGGUGCUAUGUUGAUCAAACUAUCACACCAAAAUACAGUCAAAGUCUCGAGAUACUGAAGAAGUGGUUUCGGUCCGGAGUCUGGGUCCCAUAUAUGCUUUAAAUUAUAAACGCUUUCUAGCUUCAAAUUUUUCACUCGUGCAAGUGUCCUGACAUGUUCUUCUUCUGCGGCAAGUCCUUCAUAUGAGAACAACUCUUCUGAAGUAUUAUGACCUUGUACCAAAAUUGUUUCCACAGAAUAUAAUCUUUCAAGGAAACCAAUUAUAAAAGGGUGUGAUUUGUUCUGUAAGUUGGUCAAAGUAAGCAUUUUGAGUUUAGAAAAGAAUUGUCCUUGCUGUAUCGCAAUCAAGUCUCUGUGCUCUAAAGUCAAUUCCUCCAAGUUGGGACUCAUCUAUGCACAACAAACAAGUAUAUUGUUAAACAAGUACAUCGUUAAACUAAUUACUGUAAGGUAAUGGUUAAUUAGGUAUUAAAUAUUUAAAAAGGUAAAUAAAUAAUAUAUAUAUAUUGCAUGACAUGUACACUAAUUUAAAAUUAAUUAAAAUUAUUUUAAAAGUUUAAUAUAUUAUAAAAAGAAUUAAAAAAUUUAGAUAUAAUAUUAGAAGUUUAAGCUAUAAUUGCAUUAAAUAUAAAAUUUUAGCUUUUGUUAUUUAAAAUUGAAAAUUUUGUUAUAAUUAUCAUUAAGCGUAAAGUUUAGCUUUUGAUAUCCAAUAAGCGGUUUGAAUAUAUUGUAUUAUUUAUAAUUUUUCUUAUAUUUUUUUAAAAGAGAAAAUUUAAUUUGAAAUAUUUGAGAAAAUUUGAGAAAAAAAAUUCAAUUAAUAUAUUAUGAAGGAAAUAAGGAAAGGAUCUUACCUUUUUCAAGAAAAGUAGGGGUUGUCUGCCCUCUUCCUGUAUUUCUUGGGAACUGGAUUUUAUUAAUUUGGGACAAUUAUGAACAUGCAAACUUGUCAGUUUAUGACAUUCAAAAAUGUGUGUCUCUGGAAACACAUAGUUUAGAACAUUGCAAUAUGAAACUCUGACUGAUUUCAAAUUUUGAAAAUUGAAAACUCCUUGUGGAUCAUUCCUCCAUACAUGCUUCAACGAACUCAGUAGAACUAUAUUUAAUCUUCUCAACUCAAAUGCUUCAUCAACAUUGAACCCUUCAAGUUGAUAUAUCUCUAGUAAUGAAGCACAUUUUAUCACAUUCAACUCCUCCAUUCUUCGGAAUCUUUCUAAGACAUUUGAUGGAAAAACAACCAUCAAUUUCUGGCAAAAAUAAAUAUCCAACGAUUUCAGUUUAAAGAAGGAAUUUGUCACAAGUGGACUGUGCCAUAUUUUUUUCAACUCAUUUAUGCUUGAGAGACUCAAUCUCUCCAAGUUAGGGAAACAAACCUGCAAUGCCAAACACAUUGAUUUAGUAAAUGCGAGAACUUCAAUAUAAGCAUAAGUUAGAUAAAUAUAAAACAAAAAUAUAAUCGUUGGAGGUGAUGUGAAGUGGAGAUGUAAUACCCGGCUAGAGUCCGGCAUCGGAAUUCCUGUAGUCCGGUGGAAUCUCGGGUGUCGGAAGUAUCUAGACGGGUAAUACAUGUGUUUUUAAGAUGUUUUAAGUGUUUUUAAUGUUUUAAAAGGGUUUAAGAACUAAGGUUUUGAAAGAAAAGCUUUUUGGGAGAAAUGGCAAGUUCGGCCGCCGAAGGUGACUUUCGGCCGCCGAACCUUGCAUGGAUUCGGCUUCACGUUUGGCCGCCGAAGGAGGUCUGGCCAGCCCCCUUUAAAUGGUCAAGGGUCGGUGAUUUUGGAUAAGUUUUCCAUUUUCUCCACCUGAGGUGAGGCUUUGAGUCUCCUUGGGAGAUUUUCAUGUUCUUCCAUAAAUCUUUCAAAGUUUUAAAGAGUUUAUGUUUGUUUUUGAAGGUUUUGAGCAAAAAGAGUAAAGUUUGGAAGUUUGAAGGUUUGGAAGCUUGAAUCUUCAUAACUCCACGUUAGGAUCGUCUGAUCUCUUGUUUGGAAGAGGUAAGUGAAGAUCCUGAACCUCCUUUGUUGAGUUUUAAAGGUUUUAUGAAGUUUGUAUGGGUAGUUGUAUCUAGGAUGUAUGCAUUAGAGAUCACAAAGAUGCUGCAUUUAUUUGAUUUGUGACAUGAAGGAAUGGACAUUGCACAGAUUCGAUAACCCUGUAGUUGUAUGUACUGAAGUCCCGCGAGCCUUAGGGCCGGGCAUAAGGAUGUGUGUACUGAAGUCCCGCGAGCCUUCGGGCCGGGCAAAGCUUGCAUGAUACUGAAGUCCCGCGAGCCUUCGGGCCGGGCAAAGCUUGCAUGAUAGGGUUUUUCGAUUCUGUCCGUUCCAUGCAGUGAUUACCUGAGAGAUGAUGCAUUCCAUGAGAGCAUGUUUUAUUCUCCACUCACUGGGCUAGUUGAGCUCACCCCUCUCCCCUCAUCCCAGUUUUGCAGGUGUUAGUCCUCAGAGUACAGAGCGAGGUUAGCCGAGUGUAGAAGGAUUGAAGGAUAUGUAAUAGCUAGUGUGGACAUGAAGUGUUAUGAUAUAGAUUGUAAUGUACAGUGUAUAGAGUGUGCUUGACUAGUUGAUGUUGCCCUUGUGUAUGCAUGAUCACUUUAUGAAAAUGUUUUAUGAGUUGUAUGUAAUGAAACCAGGCUUAACAGUUUAUGAUCAGUAGAGAAAGAGAGUAUGCACAGGUUAAGCCGUGGACAAAAGAAAGUUUUCAAUUUUUUUUCAGAAAAUGUAUGAUCAUGUAUGAGUUUUCACAGGUACACAGAGUUCACAGCAGGCUUACUACGGGUCCCGGCGGCCUUAAGCCGAUCUGGAUCCUAGUGCCGGUAAUGGUUCGGUUUUCGGGCUGUUACAGGAGACCUAUCGAAUUAAGGUCUUUUAGCCAACAGAGGGAUUAGGCCUACCUAUUAAUGAAUGGCAUUUGACUAUAGGAUGUCCAAAUAUGUAUGCAUUUAUGCAUGCAUAAAGAGAGAAGGGUAAAAUUAAUCACCAUUCCAUUGAAGAGAGAUUGAAUUUCAGCAUUCUGAUUUUGAUUCUGAUUCUGAUUCAUCUCUGUAUCAUCUUGUUUUUCCAUCAUGUCUGUAUGAGGGACACUAGGGACCAAGCACAUCAAUGCAUCGCAACCGUUUAUAGUCAAGUCUCUAAGAGAUUGAAAUUCAAUUUGAUAUCCACUGCAGAAUCUAAUCAACUUUGGAAGAUCACUAAGUGUCAGCUCAUCCAAUUUAGGGAAGAGUAUCUGAUUCAUCCUCUCAUCUUCCUCUUCUAUAAAUUGCUCUGUUAGUAUUAUCUCUUCCAUUGAAGUACAAUUAAAAAUUUUAAGUGUUUUGAGCUGCAAGAGCCUUUUAACGAUUGAAGUUGUAAAUAAAUUCUUCAACUCCUUGCAACCAUUCACAAUCAAGGUCUCUAAUUUUGAAGAAGUUGCAGAAAGUUGUUCGUGCCAUAUCUUUUCACAACUAACUGAAUAUAAUUCAAGAUUCUCNNNNNNNNNNNNNNNNNNNNNNNNNNNNNNNNNNNNNNNNNNNNNNNNNNNNNNNNNNNNNNNNNNNNNNNNNNNNNNNNNNNNNNNNNNNNNNNNNNNNNNNNNNNNNNNNNNNNNNNNNNNNNNNNNNNNNNNNNNNNNNNNNNNNNNNNNNNNNNNNNNNNNNNNNNNNNNNNNNNNNNNNNNNNNNNNNNNNNNNNNNNNNNNNNNNNNNNNNNNNNNNNNNNNNNNNNNNNNNNNNNNNNNNNNNNNNNNNNNNNNNNNNNNNNNNNNNNNNNNNNNNNNNNNNNNNNNNNNNNNNNNNNNNNNNNNNNNNNNNNNNNNNNNNNNNNNNNNNNNNNNNNNNNNNNNNNNNNNNNNNNNNNNNNNNNNNNNNNNNNNNNNNNNNNNNNNNNNNNNNNNNNNNNNNNNNNNNNNNNNNNNNNNNNNNNNNNNNNNNNNNNNNNNNNNNNNNNNNNNNNNNNNNNNNNNNNNNNNNNNNNNNNNNNNNNNNNNNNNNNNNNNNNNNNNNNNNNNNNNNNNNNNNNNNNNNNNNNNNNNNNNNNNNNNNNNNNNNNNNNNNNNNNNNNNNNNNNNNNNNNNNNNNNNNNNNNNNNNNNNNNNNNNNNNNNNNNNNNNNNNNNNNNNNNNNNNNNNNNNNNNNNNNNNNNNNNNNNNNNNNNNNNNNNNNNNNNNNNNNNNNNNNNNNNNNNNNNNNNNNNNNNNNNNNNNNNNNNNNNNNNNNNNNNNNNNNNNNNNNNNNNNNNNNNNNNNNNNNNNNNNNNNNNNNNNNNNNNNNNNNNNNNNNNNNNNNNNNNNNNNNNNNNNNNNNNNNNNNNNNNNNNNNNNNNNNNNNNNNNNNNNNNNNNNNNNNNNNNNNNNNNNNNNNNNNNNNNNNNNNNNNNNNNNNNNNNNNNNNNNNNNNNNNNNNNNNNNNNNNNNNNNNNNNNNNNNNNNNNNNNNNNNNNNNNNNNNNNNNNNNNNNNNNNNNNNNNNNNNUUAAUAGUAACUAUUAAUAUUUAAUACAUUUAUAAUUAAUAUUUAAAUUUUAUUAUAUUAUUUUAUUAAUUUAAAAAAUUAUAUUUUUAAUGGUAAAAAAUUAUAUAAAAUUUAAAAUAUUAUAAAAAUAUUAAUAAUAUUUUUUUAAUGAAUGUAAUAAAAAUAAUUAUCAUUUAUAAGAAUAAAUAUUUAUGUUUUGUUUAAAAAUAAUAAGAAUGAUGAAUAAAUAAAUCAAUUUAAAUUUAUUAUUAAUUUAUCUAAUAUAAAAUGAGUUUUAUUAUAUUUAAAUUGAUUUUAAAUAAAUGAAUUUAUUUAUGAAUAGAAAUAAAUUGAAAUCCAUUAAUAAAAUUUAAUUCUAUUCUGAUAAGGAUUGCAUACCAAACAAAGAUUUAGUAUUUUUAAUGAAUGAUUCAAAUUUUAAAAUGAUCAAAUUAUUGUAAGAAAAUAUGUUAAAAGGAGUAAUAAUGUAAAGAUAUAAUUUUUAAAUACGAAAUUAUCACAAUUAAUUCAUAUUUAUUGUUUGAUCGGUUUAUUCAUAUAAUAUACUCAUAAAAUAAACUAAAUAUGAAUACUAAAAAAUUAUAAAAAUUGUAUUAUGUUGAUUAUGUUCUAAAUUUUCAUAAAUAAUAAAAUUAUAUUUAAUAAUAAAAAUUAAAAUAUCUUUUUGAUUUUAAGAAAUUUAAAGCACAAUUUGAAUCAACAAAAUAUACAAUAACCGAUAAUAAUGAAAUAUAAUCAUUUAUAUAAAUUUUUUCGAUAAAUUAUUAAUGAUAAUGAGUAAUAAUAGUUAUUUAAAAAUUUGAGCAUUCAAUAAUUAAUAUUAAAUAUUCAAUACACAUUCAAUAAAUAAAAAAUUGAUACAAAUUUAUAUUAAAAAGUUAAUAUAGGCAUACCGUUUUGCUGAAAAGUAAUGAGUGAGUAUCACUCUCCACUUUUGAUAAAAAUUUCUCAACUUUUGACAAAAAUUUCUCAAUUUUUGGUGGCGCCUUUAUUUUGCUGUGAAAUGUCCUAAAAUUUGGAAGAUCUCGCAAAUUCAAAAAGAGCAAGCGAUUGAACUCAAGCACUUCGUUACUGUUUUCACUUUCAUCAAUAACAAUAGCUUCCAUCUUAGGACAAUCUUCCACUUCUAUUUCCUGCAAUUGCAAAAGACACUUGGCAGCAGAUAAUGAAAAAAGAUGCGUCAAUUUCUGGCAAUUUCUUACUUGCAAAAUUUUUAAUUUAUUAAAAGAUCUUACUGUGAGUCGACCAUGAUAGAUUUUCUCCAAUUUCAUUAAAUUUUCCAAAAUCAAUGACUCUAGAAUUGGAAAGGCAUCACAUACGGCCCACUUCGUCGAAUUGAUGAUAUGUUGAAUGGCAUAAUUAUUUUGGACUCGGAGAUGCUUCAAUUUUGGAAAGCCGUCCCCGUCAAUAUCAUACAACAAGUUCUCAGCCUCCCUCACUUCAUCUAAGCAUAAAUCUUCAGUCUCCCUCAAUAGCACUUUAAUGCCGUAUCCUGAAUGAAUGCUUGCCUUGAGCUUAAGUUUCAGCGUUCUAGAGGUUUUGUAGUUGUCAUCCCAGUCCCAGUUAUCCCCUAUCAGUAUUCUAAAGCUCUGCAAGCGGCCAUUGGAGAACAAGUGUUUUGGUAAUAUCUUGUCAUCCGGUAUUUGCAUUUCCAAGGUAGUCAACUGAGACAACUUUUCCAACUCAGCAAGGCUUGCAUUGUUCCCAUCGGCCUCCCACUCAACAAAACUGUUACUCAUGUAUAGUUCUUCAAGCUCCGACAGCUUUGAUAAGGCAUUUGCUGGAAUCAUUUUGAGUUUGGAACAAUUGCUCACAUCUAAGACUUUUAGUCGAGCCAGUUGCUCUAUUUGUCUGGGCAACUCAACAACGUAGGAGUUUGCAAAACUAAGAACUCGUAGUUGCUUCAAGUCUCCAAUGAUAGCUAAGUCCUCCAGUUGGCACCGAUGCAAGCAAAGGGUAUGAAGGUUGGAUAGGAAAGCGAGCGAUGAAGGGAGGGACACAAAAUGGAUCCCAGUAAAAUCCACUACUUCCAGGUUUCUAAUGCCCUUGAAAAACUGAUGUGGGAUUCCCAAACAAAAAACUUUUGUGACAAGGAAUAGUGCCUCUGCUUUUGGGCACUCCCAUCCUUCGGAGAGAUUUUCAAUAUCACAAUACUGCAGAGAAAUUCUGGUGCAAUCCUUAUUUGGGAAUUUCAUCAACUCCCUGCCACUUGUAAUUAUAAACGCAUGUUGCUCUCUAGAUGCAAUCAAGAGAGCAGUAUCUCGAACAACAUCAUGGAUUUUUACGAAUCCAUACAUGUCGCCAUCUAGCAAUAAGCUCUGCGCUUUAAGGGUAUCAAUCAGAUCACGUAGUUUGUUUCUUGCUUCUUCCACAGUAGAAAUGUUCUUGAAUAAACUAAGACCCAUGAUGUAUUUCAGCAAGGACUGGAUUUGAAUAUUAGAUUGUCCUAUCAGGCCACAAAGCAAGAAAAGCGACUUGACUUCAUUGCCACACAAAUUGUAGUAGCUUGACUCCAGAACCGCGUGUACUUUUGAAUUUAUUUCUGCAUUGUCAAACUCAGAUAAUUGCUUCAGCUUAUUACUCCAUGCGUAUGCCUCUCUAUUUCUCAAGUCUGUCGCCAUUAUGAGCAAUAGAAGAGGCAAUCCUGCACAUUUUUUAGCAACUUCUGCGGCGAUAGGAGGCAAUUUUGAAUUUUUAGCAGAUGAGACAGUCAUUUCAAACAAACUCCAAGCCUCUUCGUCCUGUAGAACGUCGAGUCUGAAUUCUUUCUGUGUGCCCAUCUCACGAGAUAACACAUCUUGGUUCCUUGAGGUGAGAAACAUUUUGCAUCCUUUGAAAUCAUCUCCAAAGGGAAUUCCCACUGCAUUUAAAUCAAGUUGUUUCCAAAUAUCAUCAAGAAUUAUAAGUACCUUCUUCUUCUCUUUCUCCAACUCUUUCUUCUCUUUCUCCAACUCUUUCUUCAACCUCUCAUAUAGCCGAUUAGCUCUUCCAGGUAUUUCCUCCCCCUCAAAUUUCAAGCCCAGGAUAUCACCGACCUCCGAUUGAAUUCUUCGGAGUUCUGGUGUUUGACCUACAGCAACAAUAGCGACGACGUCGAAUAGCUUCUCUUCCAGAGCUUUUCUGUGGACCUGUUUUGCUAGGGUGGUCUUACCCACACCUCCAAGUCCAUACAACCCGAUCAUAGUAAGAUCUGGAUCUAAUAGUGCAUCCAUAACUUUCUCCAAGAACAACUCUCUUGAAUUCAAGCCCUCACGAGCAUAUACUGACGGGGCAACUAUCUGCUGUAGAGGGGGACGGAAGGAAAUUGGAUCAUGGUCGUCUUCACUCGCAAGGUCACGAAUUGCCAUAGCUUUCUUCUCUGCUUUCUUGCUAAGCUGAUAGCGUAUCUUCAAAUCAGGACAUAAUCCAACGAAACACCUCUUUUUCGCUUGUUCUUCGCCUUUGAUACAUUCCUCAGCUUCUUCAAUAGCUUUGCCUGCAUCGUUCAGCCACUUGUUGACACUUUCAUAGAUCUCUUCCCCUUUCCUUGUAGCCUCCUCAACGGAUUGCUGCAACUUGACUGUUCUGUUCUUCAAUUUCUCAGCCUCACUCUGGAGAAUCUCAACCUUGCUCUUGUAGGUGAAAGGAUAACUGACAUGCUGUUUGAUUGGCGCAAGGACAAAUUGCAUGAUGGAUUCUUUGAAGACAUCUGAGAAAAUGGAGACAAAGAUACCGGGAACCAUUUUGAUUUUUUAUUUUUAAUUUUUUCCCUGAAAUAUCAGAAGGGAAGAAAAAUUGAACAAGAAAUAAAGAUGACAGCAACAAAGGAUUGGUGAGCUGAAAAGGAAACAGAGUUGCAGAGAAUGAACAGAGAUGGAAGGAUACAGAGAGCGAGUGAGUCUGGCAAGUGCAUCUCUUUCUUGGUUAUAUAAUAAAUUUUUGUCAACUUUUAAGCAUUUUAAUGAUGUUGAAAAAUGAGAGUUGACAACUUGACAUGUGACUAUGCUUCAACACCGAGAAACGGGAAGGAAGUGGAAGAAGAUGACAGCCUGGAGGAAAGAGGUUGUGGUUCUGGCAAAUUAGAAAAGUUCUACUAGUAAAAAAAAAUAUUUAAUCUAUGUAAUAUAAAAAUGUAUGAAAAAUAAAUUUAAUUAAAAUUUUGUAUUUUUUAAGAGUUAAAUAAGUCAAUUUUUUUCAAAUAAACUUAUAAAAUUCAUCAUUAAAAUAAAAUAAUUUUUUUUUAUCUAAUAAAAUGUUGUUUAAUAAUAAAAUUCUAUUUUUAUAAUUUAAAACAUUAUUUAUCAUUAUUUAUGUAUAUAAAAAAAUUUUAUUUCAAACUAAAAAUAUUUUAUUAUUAAAAAAUAAUAUUAUAUUCGAUAAAAUUUAUUUAGUUUUAGAGCUAAAAUUUAACCAUAUAUUUAGUAAAAAAAUUGAAUAAAUAUAAGAGUUUAUCAAGAGCCAGCCAUGAGUUUUCAAUUAAGCUAAGUGAAAUUUAAUAUUGAAUGGCAAUUAGCUAAGUGAAAUUUGAUAUUUAAUUGUUGUGAUAGUGAAGGAAAGCAAAUUUUUUUAUAAAUUAGGGAUUUUAAUUCAUCUGCUUGUUGAUUAGUAGAAUUUAUUUUAUAGGAAAAAAAUUUUAAAAAAAUUAUAAAAUUAUGCAAGAAUUUAAUUUUUUUUAAUAUAUAUUUUUUUAAUUUAUUUAUUUAAAAUUAAAUUUUUUUAAUUGAAUUUUUAUAAAAUUUUUAAUUUUAAAUGAAGAGUUAAAAUUUUAAAUUUGGGUGUCUUAAAAAAAUUUUCAAUUUGGGUUAUGAGAUUUUAAAUAAGACUUAAUUGUGGUUUAAUAGUAAUUAAUGUCAAAAUUGUUAUUUAAUUGUUUAAGAUCUAAAGGUUAAAAUAUAAAUAUAAUUUUUUUAAAAAAUUUGAAUUAUUUUACUUAAUAAAUAAAAAAUAAAAUUAAUUAAAAAGUUUUUUAAAAAAGUCAUUAGGAUCAAUUUUGGUCAAAUUUGAUUUUAAGUCUUAAAUAAAAUCAUAACUAGUCUCAAAGUUAUAUUUUAAUUAUCUAAGAUUAAAGGUUGAAAUAUAAAUAUGAAUUUGCCCUAAAGUUUUAGAUCAUCUUAAUUAAUAGAUUUUUUAUUUUAUUAAUAAAUAAAUUGAUUCUAAUUUUUUAUUUUUUAUUAAUAAAUAUUUAUAAGAAUAAAUUAUAUUUUAAUUUUUAAAUUUUAAUAUAAUUAAUAAAUUAAUUUUUAUAUUUCAUUUUAUAAUUUCUCUAUUAAAAUUAGAGCUCUUUCUAUUUAUAAUUUUAUUAGUUAAUGGGUCAGAUGGAGAUUAAAUAUUUAAAAUAUUUAAAAUAUCUUAUAAAUAUUUAAAUUCCGUAAAAAAUUUUAUUUUGUAUAAAAUUUUUAGUUUUAACUUAAUUGACAUAUUUCUAAAUUUUAGUAUAAUUGAUGGAUAAUUUUUAUAUUUUUAAAAUUAAAUUUUCAAAUUUUUCUAUAUUUAAUCAUUUAAAAAUAUAAUUUUUUUCAUUCAUUAUAAAUAUUAAUUCAAAAUUAGUGGAUGAUUAAACUAUUUCUGAAAAUAUAAUUUAUUUUUAAAAGAUUUUUAUAAAAGUUUAUGAUUUAUUUAAAAAUUAUUUGGUAUCAUUCAAAAAUAAAUGAAACUAUAAGUAUUUUUUAAAAGUUUUGAAAUUAUAAAUAUUGAAAUAUUUUAAUAAAUAAAAUUAAAAAUUAAAAAAUAUAAAAAAUUAAUUAAAUUAAAUAUUAUAAAUAAAAAUUAAUAAAAAUUUAAAUGUUAUUUUAAAUAAAAAAUAAAAAAUUUAAAUAUUUAAAUUAUAAUAAAUCGAUUAUAUAGAAAUUUAAAUUUAUAAUUUUAAAAAUAUAAAAAUUAAUAUAUUAAUUAUAUUAAAAUUAAUUAUUCAAAUAUAAUUUAUUUAUUUAAAAAAUAAUAAAAAUAUUUUUAUAAUUUUAAUAAUAAAAAUAAAUAAAUAAUUCUGAUUUAACAGAAAAUUUUAAAUAUUUAAUUUAAAAAAUAUAAAAAUUAAUCUAUUAAUUAUAUUAAAAAUAAUAAUAUUUUAUUUUUAUUAACAAAUAUUAAUAAAUUUUUGUCAUUAAUAAAUUUUGGAUAAACUGUAAUUUAAUCCCUCUAAUUUAGUGAAAUGUAACCUUUUAUCCCUCUGUUUUAAAAAAUCUUCAAUUUAGUCACUGUGAUUUUUAAAAACUAUGACAUUAGUCCCUCCCGUCAGAUUUUCAGUUAAAUCACCGUUAAUUUUAGUUAAAAAGACUAAAAUACUCAUUCUCUCUCCUUCCUCUUCCUCCUCCUCUUCUUCUUUUUCUUCUCCUUUCCGAUCUCCUUCUUCUUCUUCUCCUCUUUUCGGAUCUCCUUCUUCCUCUUCUUCCUCUUCUUCUCCUUCCUAAUGUUACGACUUGGUGCGCGCAGGGGUAAUUAGAAAGAAAGUUGGACCCAUUUACUAAAAAGAGUGGAAAUCUAACAAGAGUGUUUGGUCAGGAGCCAUAGCGCCAACAGCUGGAAUAUUGUGAAUUGUGAUGGACUGAUAGUCAACAUAAACAGUCCCCCGUAUAAAUUUGCCAAAUUCUUCACCAGUCCACCCUCAUUAUCACUCUUCAUUCUCUCUAAUCUCUGUUUGAAUCCAUGUCAGAUCUUAAGUCAACUUUCUUGAAUGUCUACUCUGUUCUCAAGUAGGAGCUCCUUGAGGACCCGGCUUUCGAAUGAACACCAGAUUCCCAUCAAUGGGUCGAGCGGGUACUUCCCACUCCCUCUGCAUUCGUUUUUUACAACUCAUUGUUUAUUGGAGCUAUUUUUGUUCAAGUGAUUCGAUUUUUCUUGUUUUGUUUGAUUUGGUUUCUGGGUUGUGAUUAAAUCUCGAUUUUUGUUGAUAUGGAAAAUACUGCUUUUCUUUACGUUUCACUUUCAUAUCGGAAAAGAGAAGAAGAAGAAGAAGAAAAAGAAGAAGAAGAAGAAGAAGAAGAAGGUUUCUGGUUGUGAUUGAAUCUCGAUUUUUGUUGAUAUGGGAAAUGCUGCUUUUCUUUACGUUUCACUUUCAUAUCGGAAAAGAGAAGAAGAAGAAGAAGAAGAGGAAGAAGAAGGAGAUCGGAAAAGAGAAGAAGAAAAAGAUCGGAAAGGAGAAGAAGAAGAAGAGGAGGAGGAGGAAGAGGAAGGAGAGAGAAUGGGUAUUUUAGUCUUUUUAACUAAAAUUAAUGGUGAUUUAACUGAAAAUCUAACGAGAGAGACUAAUGUCAUAGUUUUUAAAAAUUACAGUGACUAAAUUGAAGAUUUUUUAAAACAAAUGGACAAAAGGUUGUAUUUUACUAAAUUAGAUGGACUAAAUUAUAAUUUAUCCAUAAAUUUUUGCUGAAAAACGAGAGUUGACAACUUCACAUGUGAUGAUGCUUCGACACCAAAAAGCGGGAAGGAAGCGGAAGAAGAUGACAGCCUAGAGGAAAGAGGUUGGUGGUUUUGGCAAUAAAAAAGGUUCUACUAGGAAAAAAAAAUAUUUAAUCUACGUAAUAUAAAAAUUUAUGAAAAAUAAAUUUAAUUAAAAUUUUGUAUUUUUUAAGAGUUAAAUAAGUCAAACUUUUUCAACUAUAUUUAGUAAAAAAAUUGAAUAAAGUUAUUUAGCUUCUUAAUUAAAUGAGUUUAAUUGACUUAUUUAUAAAAUUUUAUUAAAUAAUUAAAUAUUAGAGAAAAAAACUAAAAUAUUUUUAAUUAUUUUAUUAAAUUUAAAUCAGGGAUUUUAAUUCAUCUGCUUUUUUAUUAGUAGAAUUUAUUUUAUAAGAAAAAAUUUUAAAUAAUCAUAAAAUUAUACAAUAAUUUAAUUUUUUUUUGUAUAAUAAUUUAUUUUUUUUUAAAUAUCUUUUUUAAAAUUAAAAUUUUAUUUUAAAUGAAGAGUUAAAAAUUUCAAUUUGGGUUAUAAGAUUUUAAAUAAGACUUAAUUGUGGUUUAAUAGUAAUUAAUAUCAAAAUUGAUAUUUAAUUGUUCAAGGUCUAAAGAUUAAAAUAUAAAUACAAUUUUUAAAAAAAUUUGAAUUGUUUUACUCAAUAAAUAAAAAAUAUAAUUAAUUAAAAAUUUUUAAAAAAGUCAUUAGAAUAGCCGAAUUCAGUUUUGUUCAAAUUUAAUUUUAAGCCUUAAAUAAAAUCAUAACUAGUCUCAAUAAUUUUAGACCCAACCUAGUUAACCAGAAAAAGAAACUUUCAAUUUGAUUUAUUUAUUUACAUUAAAUUGAUGAGAUUUUACUGACAUCAUGUAUUUCUAUUUGAAUAUUUGCCAACCAUAUAAUUUUAAAAUAAAAAUUAUUAAUUUUUAAUUUAAUUAAAUUAAAAAUAUAAAUUUUUAUUUGCUAGAUGAUCAGUAAUUUUUUAUUUAAUUAGAAUAAUAAAAAAAUAACAUUAUUUGCUUGUAUAUUUUUUAAUUUUAUAUUAUAAUUUAUGCAAAGAAUGAACAGAGAUGGAAGGAUACAGAGAGCAUUUGAAUGAUAUUGAAAAACGAGAGUUGACAACUUGACAUGUGAUGAUGCUUGGACACCGAGAAGCGGGAAGGAAGUGGAAGAAGAUGACAGCCUAGAGGGAAGAGGUUCUGGUUCUGGCAAUUAGAAAAAUUCUACUAGGAAAAAAAAAAUAUUUAAUCUAUGUAAUAUAAAAAUUUAUGAAAAAAUAAAUUUAAUUAAAAUUUAGUAUUUUUUAAGAGUUAAAUAAGUAAACUUUUUUCAAAUAAACUUAUAAAAUUCACCAUUAAAAUAAAAUAAUUUUUUAUCUAAUAAAAUGUUUUUUAAUAAUAAAAUUCUAUUUUUAUAAUUUAAAAAAUUAUUUAUCAUUAUUUAUGUAUAUAAAAAAAAUUUUAUUUCAAAUUAAAAAAUACUUUAUUAUUAAAAAAAUAAUAUUAUAAAAUAAAAUUAUAUAUUCCUUUGUGUAAAUUGAAUAAAAUAAUGCAAACCUUUUAAUACUUUCAUAUUUAUAUAUAAUGUUUUAAUUUUGGAUAAUCUUAAACCAUAAUUUUGAAAUUAGUCACAUUUAUGCAAGAGCUAAAAUCAAUUUGAUCACUUGUUAUCCCACAUUCCUACUUGACAUUUUUUUAAUUUUUUACUUAUUAAAAAAAAUAAUCUAACUAUUUUUUAAUUUAUAUUUAUAUUUCAAUAUUUUUAGUAUAUUAAAUAAAAUAAUUUAAAUAUUUUAUAAAUUUACAUUUAUAUCAUAACUUUUCAAUUUUGGAUAGAGCAAAUAAGUGCAUUAAAACACCUAGAAUAUUAACUACCACAUUUUUAAAUAGGCAGUUAUAAAAAAAAUAAAAUUAAUCAAUAAUUUUUUUUGCCACUCUAAUUAUAAGGAAGAUGUUAGAAUCAAAAUAAAAAAAUAUAAAAGAAAAUAGAAAUAACGAACAAGAGAGACCUGUUUGGGGAAUAAGAAAAUUUUAAAAGAGAGGGAAAAUAUUAGAGCUUAUCAAGAGUCAGCCUUGAGUUUUCAAUUAAGGCAAGUGAAAUUUGAUAUUUGAUUGUUGUGAUAGGGAAGGAAAGCAAAUUUUUUUAUAAAUUAGGGAUUUUAAUUCAUCCGCUUUUUGAUUAGUAGAAUUUAAAAAUUAUAAAAUUAUAGAAGAAUUUAAUUUUUUUUAAAAAUAUAGCUUUUUUUAAUUAAAUUUUUGUAAAAUUUUUAAUUUUAAAUGAAGAGUUAAAAUUUUCAAUUUGGGUUAUAAGAUUUUAAAUAAGACUUAAUUGUGGUUUAAUAGUAAUUAAUGUUAAAAUUGUUAUUUAAUUGUUCAAGAUCUAAAGAUUAAAAUAUAAAUAUAAUUUUUUAAAAAAAUUUGAAUUAUUUUACUCAAUAAAUAAAAAAUAUAAUUAAUUAAAAAUUUUUAAAAAAGUCAUUAAGAUAGCAUGUGCGGAAUUCAGUUUUGGUCAAAUUUGAUUUUAAGUUUUAAAGAAAGUCAUAACUAGUCUCAAAGUUGUAUUUUAAUUUUAUAAGAUUAAAAGUUGAAAUAUAAACAUGAAUUUGCCAUAAAAUUUUAGAUCAUCUUAAUUAAUAGAUUUUUUUUUAUUUUUUAUAAAUAAAUUGAUUCUAAUUUUUUAUUUUUUAUUAAUAAAUAUUAAUAAGAAUUUAUAUUUUAAUUUUUGAGUUUUAAUAUAAUUAAUAAAUUAAUUCUUAUAUUUCGCUAUAUAAUUAAUCUCUUAAAAUUAGAAUUUUUUUUAUUUAUAAUUCCAUUAAUUAAUUGGUGUAAAUGGAGAAUAAAUAUUUCAAAUAUCUAAAAUACUCCAUAAACACUUAAAUAAUUUCUAAACGUGUAAAAAAUUUUAUUUUAUAUAAACUACACUUUUAUCCCUAAAUUUUAGCGUAAUUGACGGAUAAUUUUUAUAUUUUUAAAAUUAAAUUUUUAAAUUUUUUUAUAUUUAAUACAUUUAAAAAUACAGUUUUUUUUUAUUUAUUAUAGAUAUUAAUCCAAAAUUAGUGGAUGAUUAAACUAUUUCUGAAAGCACAAUUUAUUUUUAAAAUAUUUAAUCUAUGUAAUAUAAAAAUUUAUGAAAAAUAAAUUUAAUUAAAAUUUAGUAUUUUUUAAGAGUUAAAUAAGUCAAAUUUUUUCAAAUAUAUUUAGUAAAAAAUUUGAAUAAAGUUGUUUAGCUUCUUAAUUAAAUGAGUUUAAUUGGCUUAUUUAUAAAAUUUUAUUAAAUAAUUAAAUAUUAGAGAAAAAAUUAAAAUAUUUUCAAUUAUUUUAUUAAAUUUAAAUUAUGUCUAAUUUAUGAAUUUAAUACAUCGUAUUUAUAAGAUAUUCAACAUGAAAAAAUUAUCUAUAACUCAUAUAAAAGAUAAAUUAUUCCUUUCUUUUCAUAAUCAAAAUAAAAUUCAACGCAUUUAAUAAAGAUAAUAAUUUUGAUGAAUACCUUUUAAUAUUAAGUACAACAAACAUUGAAAACAUAAAAUUAAUUAAUAAUUUUUUUUAAAAUAUUAUAAUAUAUUUUUUAAAAUUAAAAAUAAUUAAUAAGUUUUUUCCUACACAUUAAAUAAUAAUAUUUAAAAAAGUGUUGGGUCAAAUUAUAAAACUGAAUUAUAUAAUUUUUUUAUGUGAAGUAAAUAAAAUAAUCCAAACCUUUUAAUACAUUCAUAUUUAUAUAUAAUAUUUUAAUUUUGAAUAAUCUUAAACCACAAAUUUGAAAUUAGUCACAUUUAUAUAAGAGCUAAAAUCAAUUUGAUAACUUGCUAUCCUACAUUCCUACUUGACAAUUUUUCAAUUUUUUUAAUUUUUAAUUUUUAAUUUAUUAAAAUAAUAAUCUAACUAUUUUUUUAAUUUAUAUUUAUAUUUUAAUAUUUUUAAUAUAUUAAAUAAAAUAAUUUAAAUGUUUUAUAAAUACACAUUUAUAUCACAAUUUUUUAAUUUAGGGCAAAUAAAUGCGCUAAGACACCUGAAAUAUUAACUACUACACUCUUAAAUAAAAUAUUUACAAAAAGAAAAAUAAUUAAAUUAGUCGAUAAUUUUUUUUAUCACUCUAAUUAUGAGAGAUGUUAGAAUUAAAAUGGAAAAAAGUAUAGAAGAAAAAAGAAAUAACGAAUGAGAGACUUGUUUGGAAAAUAAAAAAAUUAAGAAAAAAAAAGAGUGAAAAUAUUAGAGCUUAUCAAGAACCAGCCAUGACUUUUUAAUUAAGCCAAGUGAAAUUUGAUAUUUGAUUGUUGUGAUAGUGAAUGAAGCAAAUUUUUAUAAAUAAGGGAUUUUAAUUCAUCUGCUUUUUGAUUCAUAGAAUUUUUUUUAUAAGAAUUUUUUUUUAAAAAGUUAUAAAAUUAUACAAAAAUUUAUAAUUAAAAAAUACAUUUUUUUAAUUGAAUUUUUAUAAAAUCUUUAAUUUUAAAUGAAGAGUUAAAAAUUUCAAUUUGGGUUAUGAGAUUUUAAAUAAGACUUAAUUGUGGUUUAAUAGUGUUUAAUGUCAAAAUUGUUAUUUAAUUGUUUAGGACCUAAAUUGUCAACGGGUUCUUCGAGCACGUUGAAAAUAUUUUUUAAAAAAAUUUGAAUUAUUUUACUCAAUAAAUAAAAAAAUAUAAUUAAUUAAAAAUUUUAGAAAAAAAGUUAUUAGGAUAAUAUGUGCAGAAUUCAGUUUUGGUCAAAUUUAAUUUUAAGUCUUAAAUAAAAUCAUAACUAGUGUCAAAAGUUGUAUUUUAAUUUUCUAAGAUUGAAGGUUGAAAUACAAAUAUGAAUUUACCCUUAAGUUUUAGACCAUCUUAAUUAAUUAUUUAUUUUAAUUUUAUUAAUAAAUAUUAAUAAAUAAAUUAUUUUUUAUUAAUAAAUAUUAAUAAGAAUAAAUUAUAUUUUAAUUUUUAGAUUUUAACAUAAUUAAUAAAUUAAUUCUGUAUUUCUAAAAUAAAAUACUUAAAUCUGUAUAUAACUAAUCUAUUUAAAUUAUAAUUUUUUUAUUUAUAAUUCUAUUAAUUAGAAAAUAAACAUUUCAAACAUAUAAAAUAUUUCCAUAUAAUAAAGAAUUUUAUUUUAUAUAAAUUAUAUUUUCGUAAUUUUAAUGAAAUUGAUGAAUCAAUUUUUAUAUUUUUAAAAUUAAAUUUUUAAAUUUUUUUAUAUUUAAUUCAUCCAAAUAUUAUGUUAUUUUAUUCAUUAUAUACACCAAUUCAAAAUUAGUGGAUUAUUAAAUUAAUUUUUGAGAGUAUAAUUUAUUUUUAAAAUACUUUUUUAAAAAUUUACAAUCUAUUAAAUAUAUAAUUUAUGUAUAAUAAUAAUUAUAAAUAUUUAUAAUACACGUAUUAUUUAAUUUAAAAUAAUAAUAUAUACAAAAUAAUAUAUAUAUAUAUAUAUAUAUAUAUAUAUUAUAACUUUUUCAUAAUUAUUGUUACACAUAAAAUAAAAGAUGAAAAGUGGUUAGCUUCAAAGAAUGACAUGUGCACUUCCUUUAGUUAUAUUAUAUAUUAAAUUAUAUAAUAAUAUAGAAAAGAUAUAAAUAUAAUAAAUAUAAAUUAAUAUUAUUUUUAUUCAUAAAAUUAAUUUAUAUUUAAAAAAUAAUAUAAACAUAGUGUUUUUUUGGGUAAAUUAGUUUUAUAGCAUUUGAAGCCCACACAUAUUAUAUUGAGGAAGGAGUGAGAAGCUGAAAUUCAGAAACAUUCAGAAUCAAAGGGUUCAUGGGCCGUUGAUCAAUUCAAAAUUUCAAUAAUUUUAUACCCAACCUAGUUGAACGGAAAAAGAAAUUUUCAAUUUGGUUUAUUUAGUUAAAUUGAAUUGAUGAGAUUCUACUGAUAUCUUUAAAUAUGUGAGCUAGUUGUGAACUAUAUAAUUUUAAAAUAAAAUUUAUUAAUUUUUAAUUUAAUUAAAUCAAAAGCAUAAUUUUUAUUUACUAGAUGAUCAGUAAUUUUUUGUUUAAUUAGAACAAUAAAAAGUAACAUUAUUUGCUUGUAUAUUUUUUAAUUUUAAAUUAUAAUUUAUGCUAUUUUAUAUUAAAAUUAUAAAAUUAAUUUAAUUUCAAUUUUAAAUUAUUUACUUAUAUCACAAGAUAUUUUUAAAAUUUAAAACGAAAAUUUGAGAUUUUUUUUUAUUCCUUAAAUGGUACUCUACAAAGACAUUAAUGAGAUUCGGUUUAAAAUGAUAGCUAAAAUCAAUAAAUAAACCACAAUUAUUUAAUGGCUAUCAUGCUGUUAUCCAUUUCUAAUUAAAUUGAAUAUCGGUCUAUUUAAUUUAAAAUUAAAUUAAAUAAAUUAAAAAUUAAAAUUUUGAUAUUUAUAAAAAUUAAAUCUAAUUAAUUUUGAUCAGAAAUUAAAUCGAAUCGAAUUGAUUUAAUUCGAUUUGAUUUAAUUCAGUUUGAUCGGUUUAAUUUUUUAAUAAAUUUUUUAAUUUUUACACUUUAUUUUUAAUAUUUUAAAAUUUAAUUGAAAUAUUUUAAUUUUAUAAAAUGCUUUCUCAUAAAAAGAUCAAUUCUGGCCAACAAAAUACUACCCCAUAUAGCAAUAUCAGAUAAUUUUCAUUCAAAUUCAAAUUUUUAGUAUAUUUUUAUUUUGAUCAUUUAAUUUUAUUUUUUUAAAAAUUUUUCAAAUUUCAAUUAAAUUUUCAUUCAACUCUUUCUAAGCAGACUUCUAGAUUAAAAUGAAUUAAAAAACUUUUUCUUUUUAUUCUUUUUUAUUUAUAAAAAAAAUUAAAUAUUUUCUCCCUUUCCUUUCUCUCCCUACUAAAAAGAUAGGAUUUCAUUUUGCAAUAUAAAAAAUAAUAGAGAAAUUUAAAGUUAUCUAAAAUUAUUACAGUUAUCUAUAAUAAAAUAAAAAAAAAUUAAAGAUAAAAUAAAUUAAACCAAUACUUCUUAUGCAUUGAUUAAAGAAAAACUGAAAAUAACAUCACAUUUCUAAUAAUCAUCACUUAUUUUAUUUUUUAAUAAAGUCCAAGGAAUAUAUAUAAUAUACAGGUUAUGUUUUAUUUUUUUUUUAUAAAUUUAUUAUUUAAACUAUUUUAAAUUUUUAAAUAUUAAAAUAUUAUUUUAAAAAAUAGAAUAAUAAUUAUCUAAAAUUAAUUUUAUUAUAAAUAUGUAUAAAAUUUUGUAAAUAACCAUUUAAAAAAAACCUAUCCUUUAACCUUUAAAAUAAAAUGAUAAAUUAACAAAUAAUUUACUUUUAAUAAAAUUUUAUAUUUUUAUUUUAAAUAUAAAAAUAUUAUACAUUUAAAAUAAAUUAAUAAAUAAUAUGCAGAAUACAGUUGUUUAAAUACUAAAAUUUCAUUUAUAAAAUGAUCUAAAUUAAUAUCUAAAAAUUAUUCAUUAAUGUUUAAAAUAAAAUUGUAUCUAAUUAAUAUUUUUAUUAUUAGUAAAAAAAUUUUUGUUUAAUUUAAAAAUAAAAUAUAAAAACAUAUUAAUUAAACUAUUAAAAUAAAAUAAUUAAUAAGUUAUGUGAAUAAAUAUAUAAAAAUUAAAAAUAAAUUAAAAAAAGAAGAGAUAAUAAAAAUAAAAAAUAGAUGAUAAAAAAGAGAGAAAACAGAUUAUUUAUUUAAAAUGAAAAAAUAAAAUUAAGUGAUCCAAUUAAAAAUAUAUUAAAAAUUAAAAAUUAUCGAAUAAAAUAUUAGAUAUAUAUUCUGAUCUUAGAAAAUAGUGGGCUAAUUGAUUGUCUUUUCCAUAUGGGGUUAAAUCAAUUCAUUUGAAAUCAGCCACUUGGUGUUUGUCCAAUGCGUUCCAGACUUUGAUUACAAUUUUCCUUAAAAAUCCAAUCUUUUUUGCAUCACCCAAUAAGCACCCUUCAAGAUUCCUUUUCUUCUGUUUGGACUCAGUGGAUUACUUCACGCGUAAUUAAUAAGGAGAGAGAUUAAGUAUAUACUUAACUUAAAAGUCAACCUUUUACUUUUAUUAAAAUUUGGAAACUAAAUGUUUUAAUUUAUUAAAAAUAAACUUAUACUUAAUAUAUUUAUUUUUAAAAAUUAAAAUUUCAAAUGCCAGCUCUUAUAUUAAGAAUUUCAUAAUCUAAAUGUGUAUUAUAUUUACAGUAUCAAAAUUCUUUAUACACUUGCUUGAUGGGAGUUUUCAUAUGCUAAAUAUUAAAACUUUUCCUCACUUUCUUUUUACAUUAUUUAAGUGUUUGUACAUAAAUGAGUCUUAGGCUUUAAAACAUAAAGUUUAAAGAGUUACAAUAAAAGAAUGUGAUAUCUUAUAUUUGGCCUAAGGAUAUAUUCCUUUAUAAGAAUAUGUCUUUUGAUAUAAUUGGAUUGAUAGUUAACUCAUUUCACUUUUCAACACUAUAUCAUUAACAUUGUUGUAUUCUUAUUAACAAACAUCUAUAAAUCUUGCAUUCUUGAUCACUUCAAAAUCUCAGCUUUUAGGUUGAACAAGAAAAUGAUGUUUAGUUGCUCUUCCGAGACAAGUCGGCGUAGAAUUUUAUUAUCCAAUCAAAAAGUAAAUAUAUAUUCAGUAUUGGGCAACACAGCCAAGAUCACAUCUACAUAUAUCUUUACUUAAUUCUUUGCCAUUGAAAUAGCAUCAAUAAGCUUGUUGAUAAGGCAUAUUUCCCUUAACCAUGGGUAGAGUAUGACAAUAUUUUUUAUCUAGUUUAUGUCAUCUUCUUUGCUAGUAUAAGGAUUGAAACUACAAAAAUUGGUCACUCUCUCAUUAGAAGUCCAAACCAGGAAAUCAUACAUUGAAUACAUCCUAUGGAUGAAAAGACAUAUUGGAGAAUGGAUAACCCCUCAUUGCAAGUUUGUCGCUAGUGUAGAAGAAUCACGUUCCAUUUAUACACAUAUAGAAAAAUUGACUAAUAAUUAACUUUUGAAUUUACACAUAAGAAAAUCAUACUUAAAUAAAAGAAUGGCAAUAAAAAACUACCUCGAACUGAAAGAAAAAAAUAGCAAUUUAUUUUUAAUUUAAAAUGGAUAGCGAAAAUGGUGUUUAAUAGAGAUGCUCCAGAAAGUUCAAUACAAGAAAAACAGAUGCCAUGAUCUAAAGAGACAAAGGAAGUGCAGAAAAAGUUAAGAAGAUCUAGAACACAUGGAUGAAGAAAAGGAACAUUCAAGUGAUAGGCACAAGAUAGUGAUAUAAAUAGGGUACACAAAUAGGAGUGUGAGGUUCUAGUUCCAAAAUGCUUCUUUGUAACAAUCGGAAUUGAAAUUAAAAGUUGAUUAUUUGCUUUUUAGAUCUAGAAUUGGAACUAACAUUCAGUUUCAUACUAUAUUUUUUUAGUUUUGAUUCAAUUUUCAAUUUUGAUUUUAGUAUAGUUUGGAUUCAGUUCUUAAUUCUUACAAUAAAAUAUACAUAAUUAAAACUCUAAUUAAAAUUGAUUUUAUUAAUUUAUUUUCUAGUAAUGUGAAGAUAUAUAUAUUAUUUUAAUAGAACAAAUAAUAACUAAAUAAUUAAAUUAAGGCCAAUUUUUGUAAAAAACCUAAAACUUUUUGCCAAUUUGCAAUUUAAUCAAAAAAUUUAAAACUAUAUUUAAUUGUCCAAAUUUACAAUUAAACUUAUUUGCAAUUAUAUCCAGUUGAAAAUCUAGAUGGGGGAGUGUGUCUAAAGGUGGCAUACUAAUGGUUUUUUUAUUAUUUUUUUGAAAUGAUUUAGAUGAAAUCUAGACUAACUCUUUCCACCUAAGCUAACUACGGUUAAGUAUUUAAGACCUAAGUAAAUAAGAUUAUUAUUUCAAAUUAAGUCAAUAAAUUAGAUAGUUAAAAUCCUUAAUCCGUAAUACACUAAGAAUCUCUAAUGUUACUGUAUUUAUUAAAGCACGAUUUACGGUUCAACUAAAUUUGCAAUCCUAAACUCAUCAAAGGGAUAUGAGACAUGCACCCAAAUUAUCUUCUCAAAAUGGGUUUGCACUUUAGUUUCAUUAUAGACUAGUUUGGAGAGGUGUUUUUCUAGUUCCCUCUAUCUCCACUAGAGAGAUUACUUGAGUAUUGCAUUUUUUUCUUUAUCUCUACCUUAUAGGGCGUUCAAUUUGCUCAGCAUCUUUCACCAAAGAAGAAAAUCAUACUUGUUUCUCUCACUAAUAAUACCAUUCAAUUUUUCAUUGAUUUCUUGUAUCUUAUAAGCAAUAUCAUGACACAAACCAACUUCAAGCCAAGAAAAAGCAAAAGUAAAAAGAGCGGAAGAAAAAUCAAAACCUAUGAUUAGCCAUGAUAAUAGCAACAUAUUCUCACAUUUACAAAGACAAAGGAAAAAUACGUUCAGGAUUUAAUCACAUUAGUUUUGAGUUUAGGGAUUCUCAAUGUAGUAGGGAUUAGGGAUUCUUGAUGUAUUAUGGAUUUUAGCUGUCUAAUUUAUUUAUUUAAUUUCAAUAAUAACUCCAGGUACCUUCUUUAAUAGGUGUCAUUUGAGUCAUCUUAUAAUAAUAAGCCAUAUAUGUAUACCACCUCGGAUAGACACACUUUCCCAAAUUUAGAUUACCAAUUAAAUAUAAUUGAAAAUAAAUUUAUAAAUUUGGAUAAUUAAACCAAGUUGUAAAGUUUUAGAUUAAAUUAUAAGUUGGCUAAAAUUUUUUGAUUUUUCAUACCAAUUGACCUUAAUUAAUUAAAUUAUAUAUUUAAAAAUCUUUAAUAACUAACUAAUAUAUUGUAAUUAAUAAUAAUACAUUGUUAUUUUAUAUUGUUAGUAACUGUUUCACAGAUAUACCAUGGGUAAUAAUAAAAAUUAUAAAUAAACAUAUAUAAUUUUAUUAAUAUAACGAUCAUAUAUAUAUAGUAUAUUUAAAUAAUUAAUUGAUUAAAUUAUUUAAAUUACAUGGUUAGAAUCUUUCAUAACUAACUAAAAUAUUUAAAAAUUUUUUUCAACGAAUAACAUAACAUUCAUUGGUCGUUUAAAGAUAAGGCUAAGGGCAGAUACAUGAAAGAGUAUGUACAAUUAUAAGGCCGAAAUACAUAAAGAGAAAGAAUCUAAUCUAAUCCAAAUAUUUGGAACCCUAAAAACCCUAUGAGGAUGACCAAUACUACUUCUCCACUUGCUACUACCAAUACUACUUCUCCACUAAAACCUGUAGCCACCUGAGCCAUACAAUGACUCUAAGACUGACAAAUCACUAUAGUAAUCCAAAUAGGUCCUAGUAUAUACUCAAGCACCGAGAAAAGGGGAAAAAAAAUGUUCAAGCAACUCCAGUCAUAGAGGAAGUAGAGGAAAAGACAAAGUGAGAAAGAGAUGGAAGCUAUCGUAAGCCUUUAACCAAAUAUCUCAAUGGUUAAAGGAGGCUUCAACUAUCUCAAAAAGGUAGACAAAAGGGAUGAAACUAUUCUUUAAUAUGACCCAUUCGCAUCAUUACUGUGAGCCAUCUCCAAACCAUCUUCGCGAUGAGAAUCAAGAUGUAGCACAGAGUUGAUUUAGCCUCAAUCUCAAUCAACACAUGCAAAGAGGAAAGAGCCGCUGAAAAGAAUUGACGACAAGCCUUCAUGUUGCAAAAAGGAAAGGAUGGCCUUCUAUAAUCAAUUUGAGGAAUCCCUCACCAGGACCAACAAAAACCACUAGAACAACGGAUACAAUAUACUAGCCAAGGAAGAUCAAAUCUAAAGAAACCAAAACAUCAAACUGAUCGGACACAGAUGAAGCACCCUCGCUAAGCUCAGUUCGCUCGCUGGAGAAACAAGAAAACAAACACACAAAACUAUUGACAAACCCAUGAAGAAGGGGAGAAGCGAACCUAGGUAGGGGCGUGGAGAGCCAUCCCUACUUAAGAGGGAUAAGUACACAUGCAGAAGGGGAGAAGCGAACCUAAGUAGGGGCGUGGGGAGCCACCUCUACCUAAGAGGGAUAAGUACCCAUGUGCGGAGAGCCACCUCUACUUAAGAGGGAUAAGUACCCAUGCAGAAGGGGAGAAGCGAACCUAAGUAGGGGCAUGGAGAGCCACCCCUACCUAAGAGGGAUAAGGGCGACUGACAAUUCUUGUAAAAACCAAUGCCUAAUGCCUCAAGAACUCUCUCACCAACGGAGAGAAAAAAUCUCUCCCUAAGAAACCUUAACUCAAAUAUAUGAUUAUUUUAUAUUAUUAACAACUAUUUUCUAUACUUAUAACCAAUAAUAAUAAUAAUAAUAAUAAUUACAAGUACAUGUACACAUAUAUAAUUAAAAUUGAUUUUUAAUUUAUAUUCUAUUAACAUGAAGAUAAUAUAUAUAAUCUAUUUAGAUAGAACAAAUUAUAACAACUAAUUAAAAUAGUUAAAUUAUUUAUUUGGACACAAAUGAAACACUCUCGCUAAGCUCAGUUCGCUGGAGAAACAAGAAAAAUAAUCACAAAAAACUAUUUACAAAUCUACACAAAAGGGGAGGAGUGAACCUAUAUCUGGGUAGGGGUGUGGAGAGCUACCCUAUCUAGGAGGGACAAGGGCGACUGACAAUUCCAGCAAAAACCAAGUGCUACCGACAAGGGCGACUCACAAUUUGAUAAAAUAAAAGUAAAAAGAGGAAAACAUAAAAUAACUCUUUCAAAAUUCUUCUACUUAAAAAACUUUUAUUUUUUAUUUAUUUUUUUAUGUUCUUCGUAAAAAUAUCACUUAAAUUUUUAAUAAAAUAUUUAAUUUUAAAUGAUUAAGCAUACUGAUGAAUUUGCAUUAAAGAUAUGUUAAAGUAAAUAGAAUUUCAUUAGAACUUCGAACUAAAAUUGGGUUAAGAAGUAAAUUAAACUCAAAUUUUAUAUUGAUAAGAUUAUAUUAUUGAAGAAUUUUAAAAUAAAUAGAACUUCUGAGAAAAAAUAAAAUAAGUAGAACUUGGUUAUGAUUUGAAAACCAAAUUACAUUAAAAAUUUGUAUUAUCACUUAAGAAUUAAAAUUUUAAUUUUAAUAAUUUUGAAAAAAAAAAAAUUCUCUCAUUGCUAUACUAUAAAAAUAAUAAAUUAUAGUAUUACUCAACAUGUUUUGUACGUCAUUUUUAUUUAUUAUAAAUAUCAUUUAUUUUUUAUUAGUAAUAUUUAACAUUUUAUUAUUAUAAUAAAUUGUUUUCUUAUGAAAAAAACCAAUUUAUAAUAUUAAUAGAAUCUAAUGAAUAUCAACAAAAUAAAAUCCUAAUACUAUUACAACUAUUAAACAACUCAACAAUUAGAAUAUCAACUAUUAUUAAAAUUAUUUUUAAAUUUAAAGUCAAUGAUAAAUAAAUAAAUAAGUUAGGGAUAUAAUAGAUAAUUCUAAUAAUAAUAAAAAAUAUAUAAAUUUAUUGAUAAUAAUAAUUCAAUUAAAUUAAUAUUAAAAUUAUUAUUUUAUUUCUAAAUAUAAUAUAUUAUAAAAAAUUUUAAUUUUUAAUAAACUACUUAUUUUUAUAUACGAAUUCUUUUAUUUAAUUCAUUAUUUUUUUAAAAAUAUAAUUUAACUUACAAUAAAAAUUCAAUAAAUAGAAUUUAAAUGUUAAAAGACAUCUUUUAUAAUUAAAAUUUAAUCAAGAACUUCUUCAUUUAAUUUAAAUUUAAAUAGACUAAAACUUAAUUAAAUAAUUAAAUUAAAAAAUUUAAAUAAUAACAAAUUGUAAUUAUUUUAGAAAAAAAAUAGUUUAACUUACAAUAAAAUUUCAAUAUAAAUAAUUUAAAUAUUAAGAGAAUUUUUUAUGAUAUAAUUUAAUUUAAAUGUUAAAGAGAUUUCUUCAUUUAAUUUAGAUUUAAAUAGAAUAUUAAUAUAAUUAAAUAAUUAAAUUAAAAGAUUUUAAAAAUAACAAAAUUAUAAUUAACAAAAUAUAAUAAAGGCAAUUUAGAAAAUCUUAAUACUUUUAUAUAUAAUAUAGAUUAAUUGUGACUUUCUAAAUUAAAAUUUUAUAUUAAUAAAUUAUUUAAAAUUACAUGAUAUAAUAAAUAAUUAUAUAUAAUUUAUCAAAAGAUAAAUCAGAUAUCACCUAUGAAAUAUCAACUACAUAUUAGCUAUUAGUAAUAAUUAGUCUAUUCACAAAUUUAAUUCGGUAGUACGUACAUCUAAAUAAAUCUGAGAAAUUUCAAGUUCUAUUUUUUCAAUCUUCAAUUUCCAUUUAAAAAAAAAACAAUAAUUAGUAAUGGUAUUUAACACUUAAACUAAACAGGCCUUUAGUGUUUUACCAGUGCUUUAUUUUGCUUUAAAAUUCAAUUUUUUCGCAUCACCCAAUAAGCAAGUAUUAAGAAUUCUUUUUCUUCUACUUAGACUUUUAGGACACUCUUAGUAGGGAUUGGUCGAACCGGUUGUAAAAUGCCUCUCUUUAAGAAUAAAAAUUAAAAUCGAAAUUAAAAUUCAAUUUUAUGAGUUUUUUAGAAUCAAAGUGGAUCAAUAUUCAGUUUAAUUUUAGUUUGAUACUAUAUAAUUUCAAUAUCAAUUCGAUUCUAGUUUUAAUUGUUAUUUCUAUUUUAAUUUUAAUAUAGUUCAGUUUGAUUUUAAUUACUAUAGUAAAAUUUACAUUAUUAAAAUAUAAUUAAAAUAAAAUUUUUAUUAAUUUAUUUUCUAGUAAUGCAAAAAUAAUCCUUUCGUUUGGUAUGUAUUAUUUUACAAGAAAAAAAUUUAAAUGAAUUCUAUUGAAAAAAUUUUAAAUAAAUUUUUAUAAAAAAAUAAGAAGAUUAAUAUUAAAUUAAAUUAAAUUAAAUUUUUAAGAAAUUUUUAAUUACAAAAUAUAUAUACUAUUUAAAUAUAAUAAAUUAUGACCAACUAAUUAAAUUAGUUAAAUUAUAUAUUUAGAUGUGUUUAAUAACUAACUAAUACAUUGUAAUUAAUAAUAACACAUGGUUAUUUUAUAUUAUUAAUAAGUAUUUCAUAAAUAUAAAUGGAUAAUAAUAAUUAUUAUAAAUACACAUAUAUAAUUACAAUUGAUUAUAUUAAUAUUUCAUAUAUAAGCUUAAAGAUGGUGUAGGAUUAAAAAACAAUAAAUAAAUAAAAAGUAAAGUACAAAAAUCUUAUAGAAUUUUUUUUCUCUAAGCAUAUGAGAUAUCGUUGAUAAAGUCUGAAAGUUUUAAGAUUGUACAAAACCAAAUAAACAAAGAGUUAUUUAGGACUCAAUUAAAAAAAAAUCAAAGUAACACAAAAUUCUAAAAAACUCGACAAAGCAACUAACACAACCUAUUUAUUUUCUCCUUCUUAACAAGCUUUCGUCAAUAAAAGAAAACACAAUAAAAAAUUAUCUAUAAUCUCGUUUAGAAGGAAGGGAGCAUAAACUCAUAACUGAUUAAGGUGUAGAAAGCUAUCCCUGUUUAGGAGGGAUAGUGGCUGCCGCAAGAGAACUCUCAUACAGAAAAAAAAAAUUGUCUAAAACAAAAACCUCUCAUACAGAAAAAAAAAACUCUCUCUAAAAAAUUAAAGAGAGAAGUGGCCAAAUAUUUAUUUUAUAGAUACGAGAUUUAAAAAAAAAAAAGGAAAAAUAAAUUUAUACUUUACUGCAAACUCAUAGCUGCAAUAAGGUAUUAUAUAUAUAUAUAUAAUGUUAAUUUAUAUUAUGUUUUUGAAAUUUAGUAAAUAUUUAUAAUUUAAUUUUUAUUUUUCAAAUAGUAAAUAAUUUAACCUAUAAAUUUUUAAUUAAAAUAAUUAUUCUGUUAAAUUUACUAUUAAUCAAUUAUUUAUUGAAUAAAUCAAUCAAAUUAAAGGACUGACUUAUUAUAAAUAUUAAAAUUAUACAAGAUAAAUUAUUAUAAAUUAUUAAACAUAAAGGAGUUAAACUGUUGCAAAAAGUGAAAUUCAAAUGAGUAAAUUGUUAUAGUCUAACAAUAUAGUUUAAUAUAAUGACUAUUUUGUUAAUAAAAGAAAAUUUAAAAAUUAAAUUAUUUCAGCAGUAUUGCAUUAAAUAUUUUCUCUAUCCUAUUAAUAUAAAUAAUUUAAUUUAAAUAUUUGUAUUUAUAUUUUUUUAUUAUUUCAUAUAAAAAAUAUAUAAAUUUUAUUAAAAAAAAUUUGUUAAUUUGUGUCAAAUUCACUUAUUUUAAUAGAGUUGAGAAAAUAUUUAAUAUAAAGCUGAAUAAUAUAUUUUGAUAUAAAUUGGACGCUAAAAAAUUUAGAAGUUAAAGAUUUAGAGUUUAUAUAGUACAAAAAAUAUUUAAUAUAAAAUUAUUAUAAAAUAUCUUGACAUAUAUUCUUAAUUUAUAUAUUAGAAAUUAAGAAAAUUAUAAUUAAAAAGUUAAAAGUUUACUUGAUUUUUUUCAAAGACUAAUAGUAAAUUUGAGACUAAAUUAUUUAUUAUUUAAAAGCUAGGAAUUAAAUUGUAAUUUUUAUUAUAUUUUAAGAAUCAUAAUGUAAAUUUUAUAAGCUUACUGAAAUUUAAAGAAGGGUAAGCUUUUUUAUUUUUUAUUUUUACUUUUUGAAUGGUUACCGCAUUUAUAAGAUGCAAUAAUGGUUAUAAUAUCUUAUAGAUACGGUUUUAACCCAAAUCACUCUGAUUUGAAAAUAUUUUUCUCUUAAACUCUUAUAUGAAUUUUUUUUUCUUGCUUUGUGUAGAAACAAAGUACUGAUUUUUUUAUAAACACCCUUUUCUUUGAAACAAUUGAUAGAAGUUUGGUUACAAACUCUGUUGCAUUAUCAAAUCUUACCUAUAUGCUUUGCCACAAAUUCUUUUAACACCAUAAAUAUUAUUUUCUCUUAACAAAUAUAUCUAGAUUACUUUAGAAAAGUCAUCGAUAAUCAUCCACAUAUAUUUGAAACCAAAAUUGAAAUGAUAUUAUAGGGUUCCCAAAGAUCAAUAUGAAUAAAUUCAAAUACACAUUUAGUUGAUAUUCUAUUCCUUUUGAAAACUUGACACGGAGCAACUAGCAUUGGAUUUUAAGGCAAACUUGGAUCGAGAUUAAUUUUUGUAUUUUAAUUAUUAUUUUUGGAUAUUUUGGAUAUUUUCAUAAUUUUUCAUAUUAGGGUUUUGUUUCUAUUAUAAAUAGCUUCCUUUGGCUAUUAGAAACUCACUUUUCAAUCUUUGAGGAAUUUCAGUAAGACUUUUAGUCUUUUAUUCUAUCUUUUCUCUUAUUUCGUCUUAGCCAACGAUAUUGGUUGAAACUCCUGACGGAGUCUAAAUAGUCCUUUAUCAGAUUGGUAUCAGAGCAAAGUUCGACCAUGGUAGAUAACCAAGAGGCGCGACUUGCUGCGAUUGAGGCAUCCUUGGCAAAAUUGAGGGAGAUGAUCGGACAGCUGAACCUGCAACAGGGAAUCCACCAACCCGCCGCCGCCACACAUCCCCAUGUGGUCGCCAAUCCUAUGGCCGCCAAUCCUGUGGCCGCCAUUCCUGUGGCCGCCAAUCCUGUGGUCGUCAAUUCUAUGCCUGCAAAUCUCCAACAGAACUAUCAGGAAGGUUACAGGAUCAAGGUAGACCUUCAAAACUUUUCUAGUUCGUUAGAUGUUGAAUCUGUUCUUGAUUGGCUGGUAGAGGUUGAACGCUUCUUUGAAAUUAUGAAUGUGGAAGAGGAGCACAAGGUUCCAAUUGUGGCCUAUAAGUUGAAAGGGGUGCAGCAGCCUGGUGGAAUUCGAUUCAAAACGAACGCUAUCGGAGGAGGCUAGAGCCCAUACGAAACUGGGUGCUGAUGAAGCAGAUGUUUGAACAAUGGUUCUUUCCUAGCGAUCAUGCUCAGGUCUUAUAUAACCGGUAUCAUGACUGUGUACAAGGAAACCGAAGGGUGGAUGAGUAUACCGAGGAGUUUUUAAGGCUACAGGUGAGAUGUGAAAACUGUGAGAACGAGGCCCAACAGGUUGCUCAUUAUCAGAGGAGGCUGAAUCACGAAAUUCGUUGUAUGAUGGGAGUAGCAGCGAUUUUCACCUUGGCAGACGCUAUUGAGAUGGCAAAAAGGGCUGAAGAGCGUAUUGAUUGGCAGCCACGACAGCAGCAGUACAACCGAAAUUUCAAUUAUAGAAAUUCUAGUUCAACAGGGACGUAGCAAUAUAGAGGCAACUACAGCGGGCAGCCUUCUAAGGUUGUAAACUCUGGCAACCCUCUGAAUACCAUGGAAGAAAGGAGAGACAGUAAAGGCAAGGCAGUCACUACUACAAUAGACAAAGGAGGCAGGACCAAUCCUUAUCAGAAGCCAAUGGGAGACAUAUGUUACCGGUGCAGGCAAUCUAGUCAUCGAUUGAAUAAUUGUCCAGAACGUAGAGGAGUUAAUACUGAUAGCCGGUAGGUUAAUAUAGUUGAGCAGGUGGCUGAAACUGACGAGGAAGAGGAUGACGAUGACAGAUCUAUUGCUAGUUCUGAAGAUGGAGAGGUCACCUAUGUGGUGAAAAAGAUCUUGUGCUCAACAAAACAGGAGGAUGAGACACAAAGGAGGAAGAUUUUCCAGGCAAAGUGUUGAGUAGGAGAGACAAUUUGUAGGCUAAUUAUAGAUAGCUGCAGUUGUGAGAAUCUGAUAGCUAAGCAGUUGGUGGAAAAAUUACAGUUGCUUACACAGCCUCACCCCUCACCAUACAAAGUCGGAUGGAUUAAGGAAGGACCGACAAUUGAGGUUAACAGAAUCUGCAGCGUGCCUAUCUCGAUCGGUAAAUCUUAUACUGAACCUGUUAAUUGUGAUGUUGUGGAUAUGAAUUGCUGUGGCAUUUUGCUAGGUCGCCCGUGGCAAUUCGACGUUGAUGCUUUGCAUAAAGGGAAGGAGAAUUCAUACAUGUUCACGUGGAAUCAAAAGAAGAUUACUAUCUUACCUUCCGGUUCUGCGAAACAUUCUAAAGUGGAAGGGAAGACUGUUGUUGCUGUUUCCAAGGGAGUGCAGAGGCUAUCAGGCACAGUUGAGGAAUCUGAAAGCACACUGGCUUUAUUGGUGAGAGCAAAAGGUACAAUGGAGGAUGCACCAUCUUUAACACCACCCGUCAAAGAGCUGUUGAAGGAGUUUCCUAAGAUAGUGGAGGAAUCAUCCAAGCUUCCACCUCUGCGGAAUAUCCAAUAUCAGAUUGAUCUCAUUCCUGGAUCAAAACUACUGAAUCUGCCUCAUUACAAGAUGAGUCCAAAGGAGAGUGAAAUCCUCCAAGGCCAGGUGGAAUUUACUAACAACAGUGUUGUCCAUAGCUCCGCAAAGAUGUCACCGUUUGCAGUUGUGUACAGGAAAGUCUCAGCGCAUACAGUUGAUCUUAUUGCCCUUCCCACAGGUUCUCACAAUAGUAUUGCAGCAAGCAACUUGGGAAAGUAGCAUGUUGAUGUUUUCAAACAGAUACAACAGUGCCUUACAGAAGUCAAUGACAAAUAUAAAGCUACAGCUGAUAAACAUAGGUAUUUCAAGUUCUUCAAUAUCGGUAUUCAAGUUAUGGUGUAUUUACACAAGUAGCGUGGUGGAGGAUAGAAAAAGCUUGACGCUAAGAAGAUUGGUCCAUUCCAGAUCAUUUAGAAAAUCAAUGACAAUGCCUAUAUUCUUGACCUCCCACAUGAGAUGAAAAUUUCCAAGACAUUUAAUGUGAUAGAUCUAUUUCAGUACUACCCUGCUGAUGACAACUCGAGAUCGAGUUCUUUACAAGUGGAAGGGAAUGACCCGGAGCAACUAGCCUUGGAUUUUAAGGCAAACUUGGACCGGGGCUAAUUUUUGUAUUUUAAUUAUUAUUUUUGGAUAUUUUGGAUAUUUUUAUAAUUUUGCAUAUUAGGAUUUUGUUUCUAUUAUAAAUAGCCUCCUUUGGCUAUUAGAAACUCACUUUUCAAUCUUUGAGGAAUUUUAGUAAGACUUUUAGUCUUUCAUCCUAUCUUUUCUCUUAUUUCGUCUUAACCAACGAUAUUGGUUGAAACUCCUGACGGAUUCUAAAUAGUCCUUUAUCAAAACUAGUCUUAGCUGCUUUGUAAAAAUAAGCAUCACACACAUAAAGACUACAAUCUUGUGAACUUCUUUUAUGAUACAUGACCUAAACUAUUAUGCCACAAGUAAUACAAACUAGAUUGUCAGGAGUAAGUGCUUGAUAAGCAUGUGAGACAAAGUAGAUAGGAUAUUUAUAAUACUAUUAUAAAAAGUGGUUCUAAGCUACCGGUAAAAAAUUAUUGUAUUAUAUACUAAAAUUGUAGUUAUAAGUCAAUAAUAAUGAUUGAAAAUUCGUUGCAUCUAUAUCCGUUGUUGUGGCAUAAGAUAAUAAUGUGCUUAUUUUUCACAGUAGAUAAAAAGUGUGGCUAAAAUUAUAAUUUUAUUAAACAUAAAAAUAAAUCAUUUAUUAAAAUAUUUUAUUAUGUUUAUAGUGAAAAAUUAAAUAUUUUUUAUAAUAAUUUUAAACUGCUGUGAAUUGUUGUCUUAAUAAUAUUAAGACAAUAAUUUUAUAACUGCUACUAUAAUACUGCUGUAUAAACUCUAAAAUAUAGUAGUGAUAUUAUUAUAUUGCCUCGGUGACAUAAUUUUUGUUCACUUUAUCUUUUUAUAUAGAUUAAAAAAUGAUAGUUAUUAUAGUUAAAAGAUAAAUUUUUUUAUUAAUUUUCAAUUAUAUCCAUAUUUAAGUUUUAUUGAAAUGAUAAAAUCAUUAUUAAUAAUAUAUGCUUGAAUUAAAUGCUAGGAGAGAGUUUGAAUUAUUAUUUGAAAAAAAUAAUUAAUGAGGAAUUAUAUUGAAAAUAAGAUAAAAUUAAAUAGAAUUAUAAUGAUCAAUUUAUAAUAAUUAAUUUAUAUAUUAACCAUUAUGUAAAAAAAAAAAAAGAAAGUGAAUAAAAAUUUUGAAAUGGCAAAAAAUAGAAAAAUAAAAAAAAAUAAAACGAGAGGAGUAUUUGGUAGGUUAUAGCUAAAUGAUUUUUAUUUCAAACUUGUAUAGACCCUUCUACAACCUCCCAAUUGCUAACAUAUCUUUAGUUACUAGGUCUCGUAAUAUAUUGCUUUUGAAACUAGAGAUAUACAAAAUAUUUUUUCAAUUGUAUUUUGGGAUGUAGAAUGAUUGUGCCAAUGUGAGUAACUGUCUUAGUUGCAUUUUCUAGCUUCUUACAUAUUGCAACAUAGACUAAGCUAUCACACAAAAAUUACAUAUUAUGUUUUGUAUUUUUUCUUAGAUCCUCAAUUUAUGGGAAAAUGAAAAAAAAAAAAGAAAAAACAAACCACAAUUAGUCGCUUCUCCACAAGAGCAGAGUAAGAAUCAUGACGAUUAACAUUAUUGAAGUUCAGUGUAUUAUUUAUCUUCUAUAAGGAGUUUCAAGUACCCCUAUAAUUAUCGAUUCUAUUGCACUAUAACAACUAGGUAGCCUUACAUAUUGCUACGAACCCUAUUUUCCAUGAGCGAAUGAAAGCAUCUAGAAAUUAAUUGCUAUGUGGUUAGUCAUCAAUUAUGAAAGGGCUUCAUUUUCAUUUUAAAUGUCUUUUCUUGCCUUCAAGUGGCAGAUUUGUUCACCAAACACCGGGAGAUGACUACAUUUCCCUCUCUUUUGUUUAAGAUGAGAUUAUGCACAGUUAAGGCAAAUCCAUCUUGAGGGGAUAAUAUUGCAUAAAAAAACUUGGAAAAGGUGUGAAUUAGGGCUAUGCAAUAGAUCGAUUCGGUUCCGAACCGAACCGAAUUGAAAAAACCGAAAACCAAAUUAUACAAAUAUUAAAAACUGAAAAAACCAAUUACAAAAAUAUAACUGAACUGAAUCAAACCAAUAAAAAUCGGUUCGGUUCGGUUACUUCAAACCGAAAUCUGUAAAUUUUUUUAAUUUUCUGCUUCUAAUUUCGGUAAAAUAAUUCAAUAAAUAUUUCACAUAAAUUUACUAAUAAAUAUUGUCUGAAUACAUAAUGAUAAUACUUAAAAAAAUCCAUAUAAAUCCAUGUAAAAUUUAAAAAUAUAUAUAAAAUCAGUGUUCCAUAUAAUAAAAGUAUGUAUAAAAUCGGUUAUUCGGUUUAUCGGUUAUUUAACACGUUUAAACCGAACCGAAUCAAAAACUGAAUAAACUGAAAAAUAUUAAUCGAACCGAACCUAACCUUCCGAUUAAUUGAACCAUUAAAUCAAAAUUAAUCGGUUUGAUUUGAUUUUUCGGUUCAAACCGAUUUAUGCUCUCCCCUAGUGUGAAUGGAAGAAACAUACGAGAAGCUAUCAGAAGACACCAUUGAGACCAUGCAUUUUGAAAAUGUGUAGAAUCUUUUUUGGUUAUACUAAGCUAUAAAUUAGUUACAUAAGGUUUUAGUUUUCUCGCUUCUCUUUACUUGUGUAUAUAAUGCAACAUUCAAUCAUUAAUUUGAGAUUCUCUAUAUUUUUUACUAAUUAUAAAUUUACAUUUUAUAAUUUCUCUACACAAAUCUAUAGUAGCUAUUAUCAUAAAACCUUAUAUAAUAGCAAAAAUCUUCUCUAGGAAUAACAUAUGCCACUGCUAACUUUUUAUAUUUAAUUAACAUUACUUUCUCUCAUUUUACUAGGAAGAAACUUUUAAGUUUUCAUUCCUACUUUUUUUUUUCUUACUCUUUUCUUCAUCUUUUUUUGCUUUUUUCUUUUUUUUUUUCUCCUUUUCCUUUUUUCCUUCUUUCAUUUUUUGGCAUGUCUUAAUACAAUUAUUUAUGAUAAAUUGCAACUUUUCUUUCCUUGCUCAAUCUAAAAUUUUCUAGCUAAGACAUGUUCUAAUCUAUUAUACUUUAUCUCGUCUUGCCCUAACUAAAUUUAAUUAUAUCGGUGUCCUACUAGCAAAGAACGUGCCCUAUUAAAAGUCAUCAAGAUGACCAUCUUACUUGAUAUAGCAAUUACUUCCAUACAAAAAGGAUAUGAGCUUGUCCCAACCAAAGUGUCAUAUGCUUAGAAUAAUAUAGAAAACCUUAUAGACUUUUAUAGCCUUUAUUCACCUUUAAUAAAGAGAAGAAUUAUGGCAUUGAAAUUUUGAACUGUUCGUUUAGCUUUUAAAUAUUUGAUCAAUUUAGACUAUUCAGCGACAAUACUUUUAAGAGAUUACAUAUGAUUGCAAUUAUACAUAUAUCUCUUCUAAGAGCACAAACCUUUUUUUUAAAUUAAAAUUACUAACUUCUAUAGCAACCAUAGGUCGAAGAAAUAUAACUUGAGAAAUACACAUUGAUUGAACUAUUUUUAUGUAAUUCUUCACCUAUUUUGGAAGAAGUGCAAAAGAGGUUCAAUUUUUAGAUAAAAGGAAAACAAAUACAAGAGAAAGAGUAAGGUAUAAGAUUUCAUGGAAAAUGCGCUACAAAUUCAAUAAUAUAAAAUUAUAAAAAGAAAGUCCUUUUACAUAUGCCCCUUGACACAAUGGACUAAGUUGUCAAGGGUGGUAAUAAAACGUAUAUUGCUUCAGAAAGAUACUUGGAACAUCAUCCUCUACUCUAUUAUUAAGCUCUUGAAACUUUUGCAUUGAAGUAAUUAAUAGAUCUCAAUUCUAACUUAGAUUAUAUGGCAUUCAAGGAUGCUUCAGGUAUUGACUUAUUAGCUUCCUUACUAACCUCUUGGGUUAUAAUGACAUUCACUGGUAGGAAAGGUUAAGGUGGGAUAACCAUUUCAGGAGGAUUGGCUAGACAAACUAAGCCUUCACUAGCUCUAGCUAUAAUUACUUCAGGUGGUUUGUUUGAUAUUGCCUUCUCUUGGUAUCUCAAGAAUUUAGAUGCCAACAACUUGGUCACUUCAUCCUUAAACUAUUUACAACUCCUAAAGUCAUGCCCACGGGCUCCCAUAUGGAAAGUGCAACUUAGUUCCUCUUGAGGGUCAUCAAAAUCAUUCCUCAAGACUCUUAGAACCAGACUAAAAUAUCCAUCUUUUACUCUUAUUUGAAGAAUUUCAUUUCAAUGAUCAACAAAUUACUCAACCUCACAAAUUAGGUCAUCUCCUUCCUUUCUAUAACAUUCAGGACAUUGGUAUUGGCUUCAUUACCAUGAUUUGGAAAGGGAUUGGUUAAGACAUUAGGGGUUGAGUUGUUUGCUUCUAUCUUUAGCCACCCGUUUCCAAUAAGCACAUUUACGCUAGAUUGCAGUGUGGUGCAAUUAUCAGUGGAUUGACCAAUUCCACCUCCAUGGAAUUCAUAUUAAGCUUUGGGGUUGUACCACCUAAGGUAUAGAGGUUACACUGGAUCCCACCGAAUAGGGACAAUCUGGUUGAUACUCCAUAAAUAAUGAUAAUCGCGCUUAGAGAUAUUGGAAGAGAAGGUUAAGUUUUCUGGUAUUGGAUUCACAUGGCCAUUUUGAGGAGUCGGUGCUUGAAUAAUUGGGUUGGAUAGGGAUGGUGGUCAAGGGACAUAUACAUUUUGGGAUUAUGAAAUUUGGAGAUAAGGAUUGUAACAGCCCGGAAACCGAACUGCUACUGGCGCUAGGAUCCAGAUCGACUUAAGGUCGCCGGGACCCGUAGCAAGCCUGCUAUACUCUCUAUGUACCUGUGAAAUCCCAUACAUGAUCAUACAUUUUCUGUAAAAAUUAAAACUUUGCUCUGUACCAAGGCUCAACCUGUGCAUGCACUAUCUCUGUACUAUAAAACCCCAACUAGAGCUCUCAUCAUUGCCCUAGGCGGGUCAAACUCAUACUAUGUUAAGCCUGGUUUUUCAUACAUAUAAUAAAAAUAUUUACAUAAACAGACCAUGUAUACAAAAGGGGAUUACAACACAUAUAGGUCAAGCACCAUGCUAUACACUGUACAAUACUAGACAACCCUUUACAAUAUUACAUGUCCACACUAUGCUAUUACAAAACUCUUUACUCUUUCUGUGCCCUGCUGAACUUCCCCCUGAACUCUGAACCUGCAAGACUGGGGUUAGGGGAGAGGGGUGAGCUACUAUAGCCCAGUGAGUAGAACAAAUAAAACAUGUUAAUAAAACAUGCUCUCAUGGAAUGCAUCACAUCACAAGUAAUCACCUUUCGGACGGACUGAAACAAAAAUCCCUUCGAACUGUGCCCGGCCCGCGAUGGAGCUCCUCAGGACUUGAUAAUACAAACAAUACUUUUUUUUUUCUGUGCCCGGCCCUUCGGGCUCCUCAGAACUUUAUAUGCCCGGCCCUCAAAGGGGCUCCUCAGGACUUUAUAGAAGGGCUAAUGAAUCCACUCUAUGUCCGUCCGCAAAUACAAUCAAUAAUGCAAUGCACAUCUUAGUGAAUUCUAAUGCAAUCAACCUAUUGCAUAUCAUGAUGCAUGGCACAUGCUAAAGACAUUUGGUUUCUCAUAUUAAAAGAUUAAGGUUAGUUCCACUCACCUCUGGCUAACUCUGAACUGACUCUGCAGAUUAUGAAGCAGUGCUCACUGCUGGUCCCUUUGGUUCCUCUGGUCCGUUCCUACAUAGGUGGACUAAAAUGAGGGACCAAACUAACUCAAGAACAACUCUAUAAAACUCCCCAAAAGCCCCCUAAAACAUCCUAAAACAAUCAUAUAAAAUAUGCAAAAGAAAACUGGACAGGGCACUUUCAGCGGCAGGUUCGGCGGCCAAAAUUCCUGUCCAGAGACGAAACUCAUGCAUGUUCGGCGGCACCUUCGGCUGCCGAAGGUCCCGUCCAGAGACGAAACUCCAACCUUCGGCGGCCGAAACCCCCUCACAGAGCCGAAAGUCUAAACUUUCGGGGGCAAGCUUAGGCAGCCGAAACAGCCUCCACAAGGGGUUCGGCGGCCGAACCUGGGUUCUCCUUUUAGGCAGAACCUUGCCCUGCUUCAUGCAAAACUCCUCCAAACUCACUCAACAUGCAACCAACAACUCCUCAACAAGCAUAUACCCAAGUACAUGCACAAAGGGGUCCAAAACUAACUUAAAACCCCAUCAAACAUAACAACACAUCAUCUAAACAUGCUUUUACACUAAAACAACAAACACAUCAACUUAACCUAAUCAUGCAUCUCUACCAUAAAACUUCCAUAAAACCCUCAUAAAACAUCAAAGAAGCUAAGGAUCUACACUUACCUCUUAAAGAUCUUGAGGAUAGGUGAUCCUAACGUGGAGAUAUGGAGAAAUCCACUCUCAAAGUCUCCAAGCUUCCAAACUUAGGUCUUUUGCUCAAAAACUUCAAAACAACAUAAAAACUCAUCAAAACUUUGCAUGAUUUGAGAAAACAUGAAAAUCACCCAAGGAAGAUCAUGGUCUCACCUCUGCUCGUGCAAAUGGAAAGAAGAUCUUAUCCAUUCACCGACCUAGGGCCUUUUAUAGGUGGCUGGCCAGACCACCUUCGGCGGCCAAACGUGAAACCGAAUGCCAUGCAUGUUCGGCGGCCGAAACUCACUUUCGGCGGCCGAACCUGGCUUUUCUCCCUUGGUUCUUUUCUUUCAAAAACUCAUUUCCUUAACACUUUAAAAUAUUAAAACUCAUGAAAAACAUACAAAAACAUAACUUUUACCCUUCUAGAGGAUCAUGACAUUCAAAAUUCCACCGGACGGUAGGAAUUCCGAUGCUAGACUCCAGCCGGGUAUUACAUUCUCCCCCCCUCAAGAACAUUCGUCCCCAAAUGUUCCUCAAACAACUAAACACAUAAACACAUAGAAAGGAGGAAAACUAACCUCAAAACAGAUAUGGAUAUUGCUGGAGCAUGGACUCUCGCGUCUCCCAGGUGCACUCUUCUAGGUUAUGGUGGUUCCACAGGACUUUCACCAUCGGGAUCUCCUUGUUUCUCAACUUUCUGAUUUGAGUGUCAAUGAUCCACACUGGCUGCUCCACAUAGGUGAGAUCUUCAAGGAUCUCUACAUCUGGCUCACUGAGAACCUUACCCGGAUCUGACACAAACUUUCGUAGCAUAGAAACAUGGAAAACCGGAUGGAUUUUUUCCAUAGAAGCGGGUAAAUCCAGCUUAUACGACACAUUCCCGAUCUUCUGCAAGAUCUCAAAGGGACCAAUGUACUGUGGAGCUAACUUACCCUUCUUUCCAAAACGAACCACUCCUUUCAUUGGGGACACCUUCAGCAAUACCAUAUCACCCUCCUGAAACUCUAUCUGCUUCCUGCGGAUAUCUGCAUAGCUCUUCUGCCUGCUCACAGCAGUUUUGAUCCUCUCUCUGAUAAUGGGCACCAACCUGCUGGUAAUCUCUACUAACUCUGGCCCUGCAAGAGCCUUCUCUCCUAUCUCUUCCCAGCAAACAGGUGUUCUGCACUUCCUCCCAUACAGAGCUUCAUAAGGGGCCAUCCCUAUGCUAGCAUGAUGGCUGUUAUUGUAGGCAAACUCCACCAAAGGUAGAUGCUGCCUCCAAGAACCGCCAAAGUCUAACACACACACAUUCUAAGCAUAUCCUCUAUGGUCUGGAUGGUCCUCUCUGAUUGUCCGUCCGUCUGUGGAAGGAAAGCAGUGCUGAAAUUCAACCUUGUGCCCAUAGUAUUUUGCAGACUCCGCCAAAACCUGGAGGUGAACUGAGGUCCUCUAUCUGAUACUAUUGACACUGGAACCCCAUGCAACCUUACUAUCUCUUCCACAUAGACCUGCGCUAACUUGUCCACAGAGUAGGUACUCCUGACUGGUAUGAAGUGAGCAGAUUUAGUUAGUCUAUCUACAAUCACCCAUAUGGAGUCUAGUCUGUGGGACGUCGCCGGUAACCCCACUACAAAAUCCAUAGCUAUGUUCUCCCAUUUCCAUUCCGGAAUCGGCAGUGGGUUAAGCAUUCCAACCGGCUUCUGAUGUUCUAGCUUCACCCUUUGACAUAUCUCGCAGGCUGACACAAACUGUGCCACUUCUCUCUUCAUAGCUGGCCACCAAUACACUCUUCUCAGGUCUUGAUACAUCUUGGUGGCUCCAGGGUGAACGCUAUACCUAGCAUUAUGAGCUUCCCUCAUAAUGUCUCCCUUUAAACUGAUGUCAUCUGGUACACAUAGUCUGUUCCCGUGGUGAAGAAUCCCUUUGCUGUCAAAUCUAAACUCUGCACUAUUGCUUGACUGAACAGUCCUGGCAAUUCUGACCAACUCUGGGUCCUCGUGCUGUUUCUGAGCUACUUGCUCCAGAAACACGGGAGUCACUCUCAUCUAUGCCAGCAAAGCACCUGUACCAGACAACUCUAACUGUAGCCCUUCUUCAAAGAGCCUAUACAACUCCAGCACCACUGGUCGUCUCUCUGCUGCUACAUGGGACAAACUGCCAAGUGAUUUCCGGCUUAAGGCAUCAGCUACAACAUUAGCCUUACCCAGAUGGUACUGGAUUUUGCAAUCAUAAUCACUGAGCAAUUCUACCCAUCGUCUCUGCCUCAAAUUCAGCUCUCUCUGACUCAAGAUGUACUGUAAACUCUUAUGAUCUGUAAAGAUCUCAAAUUUAACCCCAUACAGGUAAUGCCUCCACAUCUUGAGUGCAAAGAUAACUGCUGCCAUCUCAAGAUCGUGUGUAGGAUAGUUCAACUCGUGCUUCUUCAGCUGUCUAGAAGCAUAAGCUAUCACUCUAUUAUUCUGCAUUAACACACAACCCAAUCCCACUCGGAAUGCAUCACAGAACACUGAAAUCCUCAUUACUGUCUGGCAUAGCUAACACUGGUGCUGAUGUUAAUCUUUUCUUUAGCUCUUCAAAACUCUCUUCACACUGAUCUGACCAUACGAACUUCUGGUUCUUCCUGGUCAGUCUGGUCAUAGGAGCAGCUAUCUUCGAGAAGUCCUGUACGAACCUCCUGUAGUAACCUGCCAAACCCAAAAAGCUUUUAAUCUCUAUCACUGUGGUGGGUCUGGGCCAGUUAGCUACAGCUUCUAUCUUCUUGGGGUCUACCUCAAUACCCUCUGUUGAUACUAAAUGCCCCAAGAAUGAAAUGCUCCUCAACCAGAACUCGCACUUAGAGAACUUGGCAUACAAGCCAUGCUCUUUCAGAGUCUGCAGAACUGUCCUCAGAUGAUGGACAUGCUCCUCUGCAUCUCUGGAAUACACUAAGAUAUCAUCAAUGAAGACAAUAACAAAGUGAUCCAGAUACUCACUGAAAACUCUGUUCAUGAGAUCCAUGAAUGCUGCAGGGGCGUUAGUCAACCCGAACGGCAUCACCAAGAACUCAUAAUGCCCAUAUCUGGUCCUGAAAGCUGUCUUAGGUACAUCUUCCUCUCUGACUCUCAGCUGGUGAUACCCGGAUCUCAGAUCUAUUUUAGAGAAACAACCUGCUCCAGCUAGCUGGUCAAAUAGAUCGUCGAUCCUAGGUAGGGGAUACUUAUUCUUGGUAGUGACUUUGUUCAACUGUCUGUAGUCGAUACAAAGCCGAAGAGAUCCAUCCUUCUUUCUAACAAAAAGCACUAGAGCACCCCAAGGUGAGGUACUUGGGCGGAUGAAACCCUUGUCUACCAACUCUUGCAACUGCUCUUUCAGUUCCUUUAACUCUGCUGGUGCCAUCCUGUAGGGAGGGAUAGAGAUCGGUCUGGUACCAGGCAGCAACUCUAUUUCAAACUCUAUCUCCCUAUCAGAUGGCAGUCCUGGAAGCUCGUCUGGGAACACAUCUGGAAACUCUCUAACUAUUGACACUGAAGCUGGUUCCCUAACCUGUCUGUCUAGCUCUCUCACAUGAGCUAGAAACCCCUGACAACCCCUCCUAAGCAACCUACGAGCCUGAAGGGCUGAUAUCAAACCUCUAGGCGUUCCCCUCCUAUCUCUUCUGAAGACACACUCUGACCCAUCCAGAUCUCUGAGACUAACUACCUUGUCUCUACAGUCCAAAGUAGCACUGUAUGUAGAUAGCCAAUUCAUCCCUAGAAUGACAUCAAAAUCUGUCAAAUCUAGAACCACAAGGUCAGUUGGAAGGCAUCUACCCUCUAUAAACACUGGACUGAAAUGGCAGACUGACUCUGCCACUGAUGGGUCACACUUGGGUCCACUGACCCAGAGAGGACACUCUAACCCAGAGACUAUCAAACCCAAUCUCUCUACGGCUCUAGAAGCAAUGAAGGAAUGGGAAGCACCAGGGUCCAUCAAAGCAUACACAUCCGAACAACCAAUGAUGAGAUUACCUGACACCACUAUGUUCGACGUGUUAGCCUCCUCUUGUGUCACAGUGAAGAUCCGUGCUGGGGCUGUUGGACCUCCACUUCGGGAACCUGCUGCUGAAGAAGAGGCUGACCCUCUUCCUCUACCUCUGCCACUACUCUGAGGCAUAGCUGAAGUUACUGGCUGAGCCAUACUGCCAGAAGUCAUCUGCUGGGAUGGUGCCAUCGAGGUCGCUUUAGGACCUACGAGCCCCUCAUGGAAGAAGUGGAUAAGUAACUUAUCAUCAUCUGUAAUUGCUGACAUCUUUGCUAUGUAUGUUUCUAAAUGGAUCUGAGAGGUUGAUGUCCUGAUAUACUUUUCAAACUCAUAAACUUUGAACUUUCAAGGAGCAAUCGCAUUAAGGACCAAUCACAAAGAUGACACGUCAACUGACCCAUACAUAUUCAAACCUUCAAUGGCUCUUAAUCAAUCCUUAAUUGCUGAAAUUUUUUCCUCCUCUAUCUUACUUUUUUCCUUUGUCCACUAUUGGGGGUCCACAUAACGUCUUAUUGACCAUUGGAUACUGAGGGUUGGUCAAGUGAGGAGUUGAUAUAGUAGGAUGAAGGAGAAAUAUUGGAGUAAUGGUGGGUAUGAUGUAGUCUUAUAAAGUAGCCUAGUAAAAAGGAGGAAUGUCAAUUUAGGGCAUAAUCUAAGUAAAAAUAUAGCCUAAAAAAGGAAUCAAGAUGUUUAAAAUAGGCUAAAAGGUGAGUGGUAUAACAACAGAGGUACCAACUUGUUCAAUUAUAACUAAUCUUGGCACAUAAGCUUGCAUAGUAUACCGUGGAUGAGAUUAGGUUGAGAGAUUGCAUGCUGUAGACAUAUCUGACUGGAUAAGAGUAUCCUCUUGUUCUUAGGCCUCAUUCAUAGGGAGUUUUUCCCAUUUCUUUAAUCAUCUUCGAUAGCUCAACUACUCUUCCCUUUAAUUUUGAAUAUCUAUUAUAAAUGAUAUAAUAUUUAAAUAAUCAUCAUUUUUUACCACAAAUCAAGAGGCAUUACACUUAUCAUUAUGAAUUUUGCAAUGAUACGUAAGAGUUAGGGAGAAGAAGAAUUGUCCUAGUAAGGAACAAUCCUAAAUUUGACGACUUAGCUACCUAUGAGAUGAUUCUAUCCUUAAAGGGUGGAUAACUAGGGUCUUUAUUUAGGUAUAGAGUUUCGAUUAAAGUUCUAAUUUACUAAGAUUGCAAAAGUUCCAAAACUUCCCUACUCUAAACCAUAAAGUUUUUUCCCCACUAUGAUACUAAUGGAAACCAUGGUUGGCAAAUAUAUGAAAUAAGUUUUGAUCUGAAAGCAAGUUUAUCUUUCUUUGAUUUACUUGAAUCACUUCUUUAGAAUUCUUCCUUUUUGUUCCUUUGUUACUGUUAAUCUUAAUUUUUAUAUACUUUUUAAGCACAUUUUGCAUCCAUUUUGCUCAUGUAAAUUAUUAUUUUUACUUAUUUAUUUGAUAUUUUUAGUAAUUUUAAUUAGCUUUUAUAAAUUAGUAUUUUAUAUAUAUUUUGCCCUUAUUUUAUAGGAAAAAGGCAUUUCAAUUGGGUUCUUGAAAAACAUUAAUAUAGAAUGGUAGAAAGUUGCAUAAGCAGCAAUACGAUUAUAUCACAACUUAUGUCAGUCAAGCUGACAACUCAUUUUAUGUGCAGAAAAUUAGUAAUUUAGAGUAGUAACAAAUGACAGUAAAAAAACUUUUGUUAUGGCAAUCUUUUAGGGUAUAUAAAUAGUUUUUGUUUUUUUUUUUUACUUUGAAAAAUGGGAGAAGACCCUAGAAUAAAGAAAGGUGCAACCACUUACCUUUCUCUCCCCAUUUUCCACCAUUUUCACCUUCUUCUUCCUCAUUUCACGUGGAGAACAAAAGGGAGCAGCUACAACUUCACUGAUGGAGACUUUUUGGGCAUGGAUCUUUAUCAUUUGAAGAGUUCUUCAUUUGAGUUUUUCUUCUCCUUUAUUAAUUUUAUGUCUUGUUUGUUUUAUUUUGAGAUUUUCUUUGUAAAUAACAUGAUUAGUGAGUAGAUUUUUAGAUUUCAAAGAAUGGAUAUGUAAUACUCUAUUUUAAUCUUGGAUUUGAAGUAAUUUCUAUUAAUGGGUUUGAGCUAAUUUCUAAUUUUGAUUUUGGUAUUUGAUCUUGAUUUUUUUUUUCUUGUGCUUUAAUUUCUUGUUGUGUGUUUGGACAACCAAAGUAUUGGUUUAAUCAUUAAUUGAUGUGUUGAAAGAUGAAAAUUAAUGGUGGAAAACUGAGGAUUAGAGCUUAUAUUCUUGAAUUCAAGAAAUUGAUUAGAGGUAUGAGAGGGUUUCAAAAUUAAUUAAAGGACUUAAUGGGUUUUUAUUAAAUUAAGAGCUACGAAAGUAGAAAUUAAUUUAAUUAAGGCACAAUCUUGAUAUCUUGAAAGAGAAUUAAGAUUAUUUUAGAAUUAAUUUUUUCAAGCAAUAGAAUACCUAUGAAUUGAUAUAAAUUGAAGAAAAUCCGAAUUAAUUGGAGUAUGAAUCCCAAAGGGCUAAAAUCAUCUUUUUAUAUUUGUUUUUAAUCUUAGUUAAUUGUUAAUUUUAGUUAAUUUUAAAUUAAUUUACCAUUGCUUAAUUUAAUUGAUUUUAAUUGAUAGUUAUUUUCACAUACUAGUUUAUAGUUAGUUAGCUUAAUUGCUAUCUCUCAUUAAUUUGUGUUUAAUUUGCUCAAUUUUUUAACUUUUUUUGAAAUCUACUCAAUUUUUUAACUUAAUUAGUUAAUUUUAGCAUCAAAUUGAUUAGUCCAAGUAAUUGUUACAAUCACUUAAAUACUAAUUAUCUGUGAAAAUGAUUGCGGUAUCACAACAGUUACCUUUGUUAUUUUAUCAUAUUCGAGAGUAAAUUUAUUUUCAUGAAUACAUCAAUAUUUUUCUAUACCUAAAAGUUUUAUAAGAAAGUUUAGUGAUUAUGACAUCAACGUAGUUUUACUUUUAAAUCUUUAAGUUUUGAAACUAAAACUUGAAAUUCAUGGGGUUUUUAGUUUUCAAUAUUAUUAAAAAAAAAUUUAAAAUUUUAGAUUUCAGCUAAUAAUAUUUAUCAAAUAAGAUUUGACUGUCUAUAUGGCGGUCAAACUCCAUGUACCGUCUAUUACACAAGUAUCCGCUACUAUUUUUGAGAGUCUAUCCACGGCAGAAUUUUUUUAAAUAUUAUUAUUAUUAUUAUUAUUAUUAUUAUUAUUAUUAUUAUUAUUAUUAUUAUUAUUAAUUUUUAACAUUUAAAUUAAUAAAAUUAAAGUAUAUUAUUAUAAUAUAAUUAAAUAUUUUAUAAUAAAUAUAAUAAAAUAUAUUUUUAUUAUAAUAUAUAAUAAAUUAAAUAUAUUUUUUAUUAAAAUUAAAUGUAAUAUAAAAUAUAUUUAAUACUAUACUAUAAAUUAUAAAUUUAUUAUAUUUAAUUUUUUUAAAUAUUCUUAAAGCUAUAUUGUAAAAAACAAAAGAAUAUGUUUUUUGGUAGUGUAUAAUUUUAGUAUUAUAAAUAAAUUUCAGGUAAAAAAAAUAAUUUCUUACAACAAUUUAUUACAAACUGAUUCAUUUAAAUUUUAAUAUAAUAAAUUGCCAGUUUUUUAUACAGUUUAUAUAUAUAUAUAUAUAUAUAUAUAUAUAUAUUUAUAUAUAUAUUUUAAAUUAAGAAUUAAAAAUUAAAAGAAUAGAAUAUGAAACCUCUUAUAUUUAUUCAAAUACACUUAUUAUCCAAUUAAAUCUACUAAUGUCUUUAUAUAUUUUUUUAUAUAUGUAUAUUGUACGGUAAUCAGGGACGGAGGGAGGGUACGGCAAGGGGCAUGUGCCGUACCGGCGAUUGAAAAAUACUUUGGAGGGGAUGAAGGUGCUGCAGCGGCGCAGUCAGUAGUGUCACAGUAGUACGCAGCAGUGUCCUACUAAAAAGAAGUUCCUGACUCCGCCACUGACGGUAACAAUUUCAUAACAUAUUUUAUUAUAUAAUAAUAAAAAAAUAUCUUUUAUUUUUUAUGAUAAAGCUGAUGAUGAUGGAGAGAGUAUAUUUCAAAUAAUAAAGGAUAUAAUAAAAAAAUAUUUAAUUCAUCGUUUUCAUGUCUACUUUUGUCAGAAAAAAUUCUAUUUUAUUUAUUAUGAAUAUGCAUAAAUGCAGACUUCAUAAUAUUAUAAAAAGAAUUCAACCGGUUAUCAAUAAAUAUACCAUUGAUUUUAUUUAAUCAGUGUUACAAUAUUAAUAUAUAAAAAAUAAAAUAUUAUUUAUUAUAAAAAUUUAUAUUAUAAAUAUUAUCAAUUUAAUAUAAUAUAAUAAUUUCCUUUUAAAAAAAUAUAAUAUAAUAGGGGAAGCUAGCGCACGCAACAACUAGUUCAAUUGACUAUUAUGUUAUUAAGGCUUUUAUUUUAUUCUUUACUGGUACGUGACGUUGUCAUCCAAGUCUCCUCUACGGCAGAUGGUGCUAUUGCCGGAUUAAGGAAGUAUGGUUUUCCAGUCGAUAUACCAGAAAAGUGGGGUGUAAGAAUUAAAAGUUAUUAUUUAUAAGCAAUUGAUAAAGAUAAUUUAAAAUAACAUUAAAUAAAACUAAAGUUCUUUGAUACUCACGGCAAUCACAAUACUCGUUAUGAUUAACAAUAUGAUAAUUAUAUAGUUCCCUACCUUCACUAAUUAAUUCAUUUCUAAAGUUUAAUACUUCUUGUUGCUUAGUAAGAUCUAUUAAAACUAAUUUUCUAAUAGCAGAUAAUAUAUUAUCAGACAUAUAGACUUACCAUAUUAUCCUCGAUUUCAAACUCUUUUCCCCAACCGGAUGGAACUAUUUGUGAAAAUGGAGUGUCGGCAGACUCUGGUUUUGUGUACCAGACGUAAUAAUCGUACUUUCCAGACGGCUCUCCGAGUAGAUCUUUCUAACCGAUUAAUUCGUUGACGGAAAAGUUUCGGUUUCGGUAGAUUUUUGCAGUUUCUGAUCUAAGAGAAAGUUGAGAUAAACUUUUGCCAAGCGAUCGAGACUCAAAUUUUUGAAAAGUAUUUUUCAUUCGAUAACAAGAAGUUGAAGUUUUAAAGAGAAACAAAAGCUUAUAGAGAUUUUUCGGAUGCUCCCGAGAGAGCUUCUAACCUCUAUUUAUAUCAACUUGCUGACUAAGUUGAUAGAUUCGAUCUUAUCUAGAUAAUCUACAACAACCAAUAUUUACUAGACAUGUGGACUUAACGAGAUAAAGCAAAGAUUCCCUCAAGAUAAGAGAUAGUGCGGGUACGCUUUGGGCCCCAUCGUCCACUAUCAUCUUUAUCUAACAGCUGGAAUCAACUACAGUACAGCAAUUAUUUACAGGUAGUGUAGUUUAACGUCAUUGCGGACGUCAGAAGGCCUCUUUUAUGGCCAUGUGGUCUCAUCUGGUUCAUCCGGGUCCUGACUGUCUUGGUAAAGUGAGUCUGAUAGUAGGUCAUCCUCAUCUUCACUACUUUCUUUUGCUCUUUUAAAUUUUGUCUUUGAGCACUCUCCCUUUUCUGGAGUCUUGCUCUUUGCAGUAGUUGUAUCUGACAGUUCUUCCAGGGCCAAUGACAGUCUUUGUUUUAACUCUUCUUUAGAGAUGGAGUGAAAUAACUCUUUGAGCAUUUUAGUCAUUUUUUACUGGUCCGAUUCUUCUGUUUUUUAACCAGCUCUAUUAUUCUAUGGUGAUGGAAUACUGAUAAUGGUCCAAAGAAGUCAGUUUUAUCCCACCAUUUUGUCAUUAUUCUUCUGGUGAGCCAUUUUACAUCAUUAAUGGGAAAUUCAUUAAAUUUCUUUGGCUUUCUAGAGGUUAAGAUAUAAUCCCACUUGGCAAUCCAUAGUAUUUUAUACAGCAAAGUAAAUUCUAGUCUGGGAUUUGAUAAAGGCUCAUUAACCUUUGCAAACUGUUCAUAAACAGUUCUGACCUUAUCCGGCAAAAUUAUUGGGAAAAUUCCCCAAUUAAAGAACCAUUCAUGGAACCAUGGGGGAAAUUCUUUAAUCUCCCUUUCCAGUUGAAACUGAAUAAACCAGCUGAACUUUCUUUGCCGAUUUUCAUACAGUAAAGCUCCAGUCCAUGCUUGGAUAUAGUCAAAAUAAUUAUACCAUCUGAGUGUUCCAUAUGUCAUCUCCCUUUGUUUAAACCCUCCACUGUUCGCUGGUAAUAAUAUUUUUAAUGACAAAUUUACUAUAGGCCCAUUGAUGGCCUGUUCUUUCAAUGGGUGCUAUCUCUACUGAACCCAUCUCAGUAAGUAUGGCCUGAUAAUAAUCAAAGGCCUUAGGAUGGUAUGGGACAAUGGAGUGGUGUUCAGUAUAAUAGGCGGCAAUUUCAUAUGGGUUCAGGCUUUUAUAUUUCUUUUCUAUAGGACUCAGUACAUAAUAACUGAUAGGUACAUAUGGGUAAUUUACCUCUUUGUCGUUCACAGGCUUGAUGCUUAUUUUAUAAGCAUCUUCUCGUACAUGGUCCGAUUCUUUAACCGGAGUUGAAGAUGAUGCUUCUUCAUAUUGUCUUUUGGAUGGAGUCUUUGUACUCAUUUCCUGUAAGAAAUUCUCUUGUUAGAAAAUCAGGCAAUGAAUUAGAUUCUCCUUUUAUGAACUCAAUAUCAUAAUAAAAAACAGACAAAAUAGUCUGCCAUCUAGCAAAUAUUUGUUUUGAUGUUAUGUUUUUAACAUCUUUAAGGAGUAUUUCCUUUGCGCUUUUACAAUCAAUCCGUAUUAGGAAUUUCUGAUUUAAUAAAUCAGAUUCAAAUUUUUGAACACAUAAAACAAUUGACAAAAUUUCUUUUUUAACCGUAGAGUAAUUUACUCUAGGUCCUACCCAUAUACCACUAGUGAAUCUUACUAGGGUUUCCUUAUCAUUAAGUUUUUGUUUUAGUAUACCUCCAUAUCCUUUUUCUGAGGCAUCUGUUUCGACUAUUUUAAAGGACUCAGGGUGUGGUAUAGCAAGACACGGAAGGGUUUUUACCCUUUCUUUAAUUCUUUUUACUGCUAGAGUGCAUUCUUUAGUCCACUCAGGAGGAUUCUUUCUUAGACGCUGAAACAAAGGCUUUGCUUCUUGUGCUAGAUUUUUGUAAAAAUCAGCUACAUAAUUCAAGCUUCCUAAGAAUCUUUGUAACUGAGUUUUAUCUUUAAUCUCAUCAGGAAAUUUACUAGCAAAUUCUAUGGCUCGGUUUAUGGGUAUAAUGGUUCCUUUAGAGAUGUUGUGACCCAAAAAUCUAACUUCGGUUUGGAAGAUCUUUAUCUUCUUGGCCGAAACAACUAGACCGUUUAUUUUAACGAUCUUUUCAAACAUUCUUAAAUGCUUGAAAUGCUGAUCUAUUGUCUUGGAGAAGAUUAAGACAUCAUCAAUAUAAACAAUAGAAAACGCUGAAUAAACGUUAAAAAUUUCAUUCAUAAUCUUCUGGAAUUCAGAAGGAGCAUUCUUUAAUCCAAAUGGCAUGACAUUCCACUCAUAAUGCCCAAAGGGCACAGUGAAAGCUGUUUUAUAUUUAUCUUCUUCAGCUAUCUGGAUUUGCCAGUAUCCAGACUUCAUAUCAAAUUUUGAGAAAAUAGUGGCUUCAUAAAGCCUCUUCAAGAGAUCUCUUUUAUUGGGCAGUGGAUACCUUAUCCAUCUUAGCGCCUUGUUUAAGGGCUUAUAAUUGAUAACCAGUCUUGGGACACCUCUCUCAAGUUCAGCAGCAUUUUCUACAUAGAAUGCUGGACAGCUCCAUGGGCUACUACUUUUUCUAAUUAACCCUUUAGCUUCUAGCUCAGCUAUUUCUUUCUUACAAAUUUCUAGGUGUCUUGGCCCCAUGGCUAUGGGCCUGGCCUUUGUGGGAAUAGCCUUUUCUGAAAACUCAAGCUCAUAUGGCAAAUUUACCACAUGCCUUUUCCUGGUCCAGAAUGCAUCUGGACUUUCAGCACAAAUGCUGCUUAUCAAUUCUUCUUGGAUUACUUUAAUCCUCUGUUGAAUUUUAGGUUCUUUUAACCUAUCAUCUAUACAUUUAUAGAUAACUUCCUGUUUCAAGGAAUUUAUGAAUUUAGUUUUAUUUUCUACUAUGUUUUUUAACACAUCUAUUUCUUUCAGUUUAGGCUGAGAGCUAAAGUAAAAGGUAAUGACCUUACCGUUUAUCUCGGUACUAAUUCCUUCUUUGGUUAUUUGGAUGGGGUAUAGCAUAUAAAGAAAGGAUUUCCUAAGAUAACAGGAUGAGAUAAUCCUUUUACCAUAAGAAAAGGGAUUUCGAAACAGGUACCUUGAUUGCAGAUAACGGUAUUGUUUAGUUUGUAUUUUACCGACAUUUUGCUCCCGUCUGCUGUAUGCAACUCUUCAAGCGUUUUUUAGAAGUAUUUUGAAGGCACUAGUCCUUCAUUAAUGCAAUUGAGAUCAGCUCCCGAGUCGAUUAGUGCAUUUGUUUCGAACACAUAGUUCUUAUGUACUACUAUGGUAACCUUUGUAUGCCACUUAUGGGUAAUUACCCUAUCAGCCAUGUUGAUGUAAUGAAGGUUGUUGAGGUCUUUACCUCCUUGAUCUUCUUCUGGUUCUUCCAUAGCUAACUGUUGAUGUUCGUUUAACAGCUCUAGGAUGUUUAUCCUUUCUUUUAUUUCUUUAAUCUCAGUUUUUACUGAGUUAAGUUCUGAGCGUAACUCUGCCAUUGUUGGCUCUUUUUGCCUCUUUGAGUUUUUAACUCUUUCUAAUAUCUCUUUAAGGUCAUAAAUAGGUUGUCUGCUUUCUAUCUUCUUGUCUAUUAGGCCUUGUGCUGUGGUGUUCGUUUCUUUGUCUUUGUAGAGGCCAAUAUAAGUUUCUAACUUCUCUCUUUUCUUUUCUGGAUCCUCAAUAUUGUCUAUCAGAUCAAGGAUAAGAUUAUCCUCUUUUGUUAGUACCAGAAGGCCAUUCAUUGCACAUAGCGAUUUAUAAUAAUUGCAGUUUCCUUCACAUUCUUCCUCUUGAUUCUCCUCUUCCUCCGUACUACUUUCUUCCUCUUCUGUGGUAUAAUCCUUUGCGUAAAGUGCCAUAACUUCUUGUUCAGAAUCUGUUUCGUUUAGCAAGAUAUUUGCUAAAGCCUCUUUGAUAUCUUCUUCAAUGGUGAGUGCCUGUAUUUGCUGCUUGACUCUACACUUAUUAGCAUAGUGUCCCACCUUUCCACAUUUGUAGCAGACUAUAGUUUUCUCUGCUUUGCCUUGACUAGGCUUCUUUCUUUCCUUUGGCUUCCGACUACUGUCAGGUUUUGGAAACCUUCUAUGCUUCUCCUUGUAUGGACGUUUGUUUGUGAAGAAACGCUUGCGUCGAUGAUGCCGAACUUUGUCGUCCUCUCUCCUACCCCCCCUUAAAUUUCAUGGACGGAAAUUUAAUAGGUGGUAAUCCAUACUGCUCACAGAAGUUACCAAGGAUUUGUUUGCCAUAGAACCUUUCUUUCUGCAUUUGCUUAUGAAUUUUUAAUUCAUUGCAAAGAUGAAUUCCUGUAGUAACCACUUCAGAGGCGAGUUCUCCAUACGUGUAGUCAUGAUACGGUAUAUUAUCGUUAUGCUUACUUCGUAUUUGAUCUCGUACUCGUUCAGCAAAGAGUGCGGGGAGUCCUGCCAAGAACUUUUCUUUCCAGACAUGAUGCUGGCUAUCUUCUCUAGUAAAAACCAACGAGAAAAAGGUAUCUUUAUACCAUUUGAAAUGAGAAAGGUCUGGGCAGCGCAGAUUUAUUAACUGCUCUUGUGCUCUGUCAGUAAACAUGCUGACUGAUCCGAUGAAGUGCAACCCUAUAGUAUAUAAUAGGGUGUUAACCACAUCUGGAACUUGUUGAGCUCCUUCUUGUUUAACCAUGUUGAAUAUCUGGAUUUUUCCUUCAUUGGAUACUGAAAAAUCCCACCAACCUUUUAGUUGGCCACUGAACCCUGCUAUUAGGGCUCUUGCAGUAGCGGGGUCAUCAUUACCCUUUGCUCUACAUGCUGUAGCAUGCAUGGUCAUGUACUGGAGGACAUUUUUGAUUUGAUAGUCGGACAACCCAUCAAUGUUCCAUUCAAUAAUGGAAGAUCCAUCUACUUACACCGGAUUGUAGUUCAUAUCUUCAUACUGCAAGUUGAUUGGUGAUGGUCUAGGAUAGUAAGGCUUCAGAUCCAUUGUCGCCUGAGGUUUAGGAUACUUUAUCCUAUUUACUUCUGCUGGCUCAGAUUCUCGCAACAUUGUUUCGAGUUGAAUUAACUCCUUUUCUUCGUUUGGCAAUUCUACUACUUCUUCUUCUUCUUCUGACUCCAUUGUUAACGGAGCAAUUGCCUUCAUUUUGGCGUCCUCUUUUAUUCCCAGUUUGGCUAGCCUCUUAGAUAGUUCUUCUAGCAUUUCUUCAUUCUUGCUUAAUUUGAGGCCAAUGUUCUUACUAUCCAUAGGCUUCAAUAGCACCUUUUCUUCGACUUUGGUCCUUGAGGUUUCUGCAACUUCUUUUCGUGGAAGAAUGUCCAUUGCUUUUGGUUGGGCAGCUAUUUUCGAGACUUGAUUUUCAACUCUAGUUAAUUGCUGUCCAAUUGUGUGAAGGCUCAGGUUUGUAUAGUUUUGCUGUCUAGCUGCUGGGUUGCUAGUUUGAUCAUGAGAAAAGGGAAUGCAUUCAACUUUUGUAUUUUCAGUUGGUUGAUAUGUCACAUCGGUCAAAGGUGGAUGCAUUUCUUUGAGAAUUUUCUUUUGGGGAGUUAUGAAGGUUUUAUAAUGAGUUUCAAGGGUGGCUAGAAAGAAAGGGUCGUCGAAGUUAGGGUAUGGUUUUUUGAGUAUAGAGAAGCAAUGUUGAAUAAAGGCAGGAAAGUCUUUACUUCCUUGUUUCUGCACUUUGUAUAGCUCAUACUUCUUGUGCCACAUCCUUUGUUCUUUGCUGGGAACCUCCAUGCCGAACCAUUUGUCAAACGGUGUGUCUUCGACUUCGAGCAUCAUAAUUUUGAAUGAUUUGGAGAGUAUGCUUUCAGCAUCAUAGCCCAUGCCUGACGGAGUUGGACUUUGGGGUCUUGGAGCUGGGCUUUGAGACCCUGCAUAUAUUGGAUUUACUAUUUGCUCUUCAGAUCUUUGUACUCCAAUAACAGAAUUACUCCGCUGAAUAGGCGUCGAUGUGGAAGACCUCAGAGGUAAUGGUUCCGAUAAUAAAGAAACUCCUGAAUAGGAUCUCCUUUCUGCAAUACUUCUGCUUCUCCCGAAAGAAAUUGCUACUGAUCCUUCGUUUGUUUGGACAAUUGAUUGAACAGUAGUUGACUCUUCUUUCUUUGGUGGUACAGCUUCUUCAAGAAUCCAAUUGUCAGGCAAAUUAACCUGAUCUCAUUGGAUUGGUUUUGGAACUAUCAAGUUUCCUUUUGACAUAUUAGUCACAAACAAAGUAGUAGUUUCUUUUGGAGAGAUCAACUUUGUUGCACUGUCCCUCAAAUUAGGGACUACUGUGUUCAUUACUUUGUAAUGGAUUCUGUAGAUCAAGAUUAGAUAUUCUGAUCCUGGAGCCAUGUCAUAUCCCAUUGUUUUUAUAUCAAGAACCAGGAUUCUCAUAAUAUGUGGAUCUGUGAGAGACAACGUAAGAUUUGGAAAGCAUUGAAAAAAAAUUGGUCCAUCACAAAGAGAGGAUUCUACCACUCCUAAUAAGGAGUCAUUGAAUUUAUUGUGCCGUUUGUCUCUGACACAAAGCAUCGCGGCUGUAUUAAGCCCUAACCUGGUUGCCGGUUUUACCGCAACUUGAAUCAUUCCUAUAUGUAGGAAUAUUUACUGGUACGUGACGUUGUCACCCAAGUCUUCUCUACGGCUAAUAUAAUAAUAAUAAUUAUAAUAAUAAAUAUUAUUUAUUAUAUAAUUAAAAAAUAAAACAUCUUGUGGCGCCUACCACAAAUAUGACUGUGCAAUUCAUCGGUUUGAUUUUAAAUUAAAUUAAAUAAAAAAAUUUUAAAAUUAAAUUUUAAAAAUAUUAUUAAAUUAAAUUAAUUAUUAAAAUAUAAUUAAAUUAAAUUAAAAAUCAAUAAAAAUUGAAUAAUUAAAUUCGAUUAAUCAAUUAUUUAAUACAUUUAAAUUAAAUAAAAAAUUUACUAAUUUAAAAAUAUUAACUGAAUUAAAUCAAAUAUUUCAAUUAAUCAUAAAUCAAAAUCGAUCAGUUUGAUUUCUCAUUUUAAAUUAAAUUAUACUCUCCCUAAUUACAAAGGGACCAUAGUUAAUUACAAAGGGACCAUAGUUAUAAAGGAACCAUAUCGAGUCAUUUUUAGUAAAUAGUACUGAGUGAAACAUAAAAUUUUAAAUAUUUUACAUUUUAACAGUAAAAACCUAAAAAUCUCAAAAUUCAUAUAUUUUCAGAAUUUAAGAUUUUCAACCAUAACAAAAUAAAAAAAAAUAUAAACUAUCGGAAUUAGUCAACAUUUUAAUUUUUUAUAUUAUACUUGGUCUCCAAAACCGUCCAAAUCUUUUUUGAGAUAUCGUGAUAGCACAUAAAUCACAUAAACGAUAUGUCAUAGAAUUGAGAAGAUGGGCCUCUGCUUAGAAAUUCAUCUUCCUCAUACUUUUUCCUUGCUUGUUUGACUUCUUCAGUAUCAUUAGGUUUUGGUGGGGGAAUAUUAUUAAAGAAGGAUUCAGGACAUAAGCAAUCUUCAAAGCAGUGAGUAUAAAUAACAUUUUACCUCCCCAACAAGUAAAAUUGGUGCUAUCAACUUCACUUUAAAAUUGCUGGUACUAAAACAAUAGAUAAAAUAAAAAGCAUCUGUUGGUUUUGAGGCAUGAAGAACUCUAUCUUUAAAGUGAUCUUUCCCCUCUCAUAUUGCUGCAGACUUAUGGCAAAUCUUUCCAGGAUACAACGAAACCAACCAAAACCUGCAAGCAGCACCUCCUGAAGAUUUUCUUUAGAAUAUUUCUUGACUAAUCUUGCAGAAAAAAAAAAAAAGGAAUACAAACUGUUUACAGCAGUUUAUAUAUGUUGGUUUGAUGAACCAACACAAAUAGUCACAACCAAUUUGGCUCUUAAAAACUAACAAUAAACAACUGAAAUAAAUUUUAUAAUUAUCCUUUAGAUUUGAAUAGAACAUAAUUUAAUCAACUUGUAUUUCAAUCUAUUCUAGCAUAUUUGAAUCAUCACAGCUAGUGCAAGAUACAAAGCAAGUCUCUUAAUUUCUGGUGCAAAACAUUUCAUGAUUAAGUAGAAUAUAUAAUCAAUGUGCAAAUCUAAAUUUAUAUGAUACCAUAGAAAAAAAUGAAAACUCAGUUGUUCAACCUCAAACCAGGUGAACCUGUAGAAGUGAUAAAUGAUCAAGAUAUUUUAAAUGCAAAAUUAACGGCUAGUUGUAUAUCUUUGAACAAAGUGAACAAAAAUGAAAUCUAGUAUAGAAAAGAAUAGAAGAGCGGAAAAUCUUCUGAUGUAUUUCAAGUUCCAACAAUCGAAUUUAAAAACUCAAAUAAAUGCAAAAUGCGCCAAAAAAAUAAUACAAGAAAUUCAAAAUUGAAAGUAUAAUAUAAGUAAAACAGAUUCAGGCAUGACAAAGUGGACAGUUUAGUCUUGUCAAUGCUGAAAAACUCAGCAUGCAGCAUGGACACAUUUUAUUCAUUCUUAUUCAUGAAAGAAAGACAAGUUGAUCCCCAAGAGAUCAAAUGGUACCAAAUCACAUGGAACGCCAGCCUUCUUAUCCAAGCUCACCCAUAUGAAAAUCGGCCUAUCCCCAUAUCUUCAGCUUUCUGAGAAAGUAAUUUGACAGUGAAAGAAUGAGCAAUCUUGUGAUCUUUUAGGUACAAAAAUAAUGUAUAAAAUAUGUAUUAAUUUUUGUCAAUAAAUGUUUACCAUUUCCAUAAAUAAUGCUUGAAUGGUGUUAUUAAGGCUGCUUUCCCAUUCCCAUUCCCAUUCAUAUAUAUGUGGACCUGUUUGAACUCUCCAUAGAUGCGGCGUGCUUACUUCAUGAGCAAAAAUCUUCAUAUUAGGGCAUUCUACAAUGAUCACUUCUUCCAUAGAUGGGAAACUGAAGUUCAAAUUUCCAGAGCAGAAGCUAGAGAGGCUUGGUAGAUGUUGAAGUUCCAAACAUUUUAGUUGGCUGAAGCAAAUCUCAUUCUCUUCUUCUUCUUUAUCUACUUUAACCACUAUGACUUCUUGUAUCAGUUCACAUUCCUCUAUCUUCAUUUUUUCAAGUCGCUCAAGACUUCUCGCUGUUGAAGAAGACAACAAAUUUACUAGACCUUGGCAAUUUGAUACCUGCAGCUCUGUUAAAUUUUGAAAAGAAACAGAGGAUGCCACUAAUACUUGCAAUUUACCACAUUCCAUUACAUUUGAAGUGUCCAGAGAUUGGAAAACUGAGAUUAGUUGGGCGUCCCUGAGAUGCUUGAGCCUUGGCAGUUUAGACAAACUUAGUUCUUUCAAUUUCACAAGUGAUUGGAGAUGUAUUUCCUCGCCAAUAAUAUCUUCACAAAAAAUAAUAUCUUCGAAAGAAGCAUCACUCAGAACAAGCUCCUCCAGAAUGGGUAAACUUUGAAAGAAAUGAGAUGGCAAAAGUGUAGAGUCACUAGAAAUACAUGUCAACUCAAUGCCUUUCAAUCCACACAAGAAAUCAGCUUGAGAUGUUUGAGAAUCACAGAUUCUUUAUGGUGUUACAUUCCACUCUUAAUUCUUCUAAACUUGGAAUGACAACCUAAUAAACCAAAUAAACAGUGAUUAUAAAUAGGGAUAUAUGAGAUCAAAACAUUAAGAACAUAUGGUUCAUCUUAGAAAUGGAAUGUAAAUGAAAACAAACAUCUUAAAGAUCCCAGUAAAUUGAAAUUCUCCAUUUUUUAGGCUAAGAGUUCGAAAAAUCAAGAAAUUAAACUUUUUAAAUUUUUUAAAUUGAGCUUAAGUUCAAACUUCUGAAUUAAUUUGGAUAAAGCAACUAAAUUGAAAAUCUCCAAUUAGUACAAUGAUGAAAUUGAACAAGAAAUUAAACUUAUUAUAUAGAAAACUGACCUUCCCACCAAUUGAAAUAUUGGAGUCCUCCUCGUGAAUUCUUUCUUCAUUUCCCUCAGCAAUCAUGCUUAGAUCUUGCUCUUGGCAAAAUUUAGAAGCCAGUAAUUCCAUGUUUGGACAGCCAACUAUCUCAAUUCCUUUCAAGGAUGGUAAUUUCAGAACAUCACUUGCAGAAUAAAAACUUGAUAAGCAAGGCAAACACUCUAGAAUUAUGGAUUGCAUUGAUGGAAAUAUGGUAUUAUCCUUCCCUAUUUCCUCUUCUGCUUCUUUUAUGAUGACAUGGUCCACCAAAUUACAUCUUUUUACUUCCAAAUGUUGGAGAUUUACAAGACCCGAAGCCAUGGACAGAGUAAAUAUAUUAGUCAAGCUGCUACAAUUCUCAACUUGCAACAACGUUAGGUUUUCAAAGCUCAUAAUUCCUUGAGGAUCCUUGUUCCACACAUGGACCAAUGUAGGCAAAUCGAUUAACCUCAAUUCUUCUAGAGACUUUAAUAACCCAACAUCACCUUCAUCAGCAUUUAGCCCUUCUAAUUCAAACAGCUCUUCUACUGAAUCACUGUAGGCAAAUCGAUUAACCUCAAUUCUUCUAGAGACUUUAAUAACCCAACAUCACCUUCAUCAGCAUUUAGCCCUUCUAAUUCAAACAGCUCUUCUACUGAAUCACAUCUUUCUACGGCCAGCUUUUUUAACAAGUGCAAGUGCUUUAGUACAUUCGAUGAUAUGGCAUUUGAGAAAUAUGCACACUCGUCCACCACCAAUCUUUCCAAGUACUCGAAUGGAAAUUGGCCAUGCCAUUUUUCUUUCAGCAUGGAAAAGUUGGAGAGUUGAACAUCAUCUAUCCAUUCAAAUCCAAUCUACAAAUAAAAAAUAUUGCAUUAUUGGGGAACAAUAAAUAUUGCAUCAUCUAACCAAACAUAUUAGCACAACUGAGUUUAAUAAAGAGAGAAGCAAGAGUUGGUAAGUACUUACAUAUUUCAUGUAAAGUUGUUCAAUGGUCGCAUUGAGAUUGCCUUCCCAUUGAAAUGUUAGAUUGAAUUUGUGGCCUGUGAAUACACCAUGUAUCUUUGAUGCGCUCAGCUUGUUGACAGUGAAAAUUCUCAACUUGGGACAUUUAAGGACAAUCACUUGUUCUAAAGAUGGGAAAUUGAAAGUGUAACUGCCCAAGCAGAAGCAUGUGAGGUUCUGUAAAUCUUCAAGUUCUAAUGUUUUCAUUUUACUGAAAACAAUCUCAUCGGUUGAUCCAUCCUCUUGAACACCUCCUAUUAUUUCGGUCAACAUAUUGCAAGAUCUUACAAUCAAUGUCUCAAGUUGUACCAUACUUUUGGCCGCGGCUGAUGUAAAAAUAUUUGCCAAUGUGUUGCAUCCAUAUACUUUUAGAGUUUUUAGAUAUUGCAAAGACACGGAGGAUGGUGCUAAAACAAUCAAAUCUCCACAAGACUUUAUCUUAAGAGUCUCAAGAGACUGAAGUAAUGGUUCAUGCAGUUGGCCAUCUGGAUUCCAUAUAUGCUUCAAAUCAGGAAGAUUUUUAAGCUUUAAAUCUCUUAUUUGUGGAACUGUAGUGAUAUCUUCUUAAUCACCACCCAGUCCUUCAAAUGGAAGUAACUCAUUGAGAGAAGAAUCAAGAACUUCAAAUCUUUCGAGAUUAGAGAAUAUUGGAAGUAAACUAAACAGAGGAACAUGAUAUUUGUUUAGAAAGAAACUCAAUUCAAGAACUUUUACUUUGGAAAAGAAGCCUGUUGGAAAUUGAAAUCCAAGUAUGGUUAUGGUAGACUUCUUGUCUAAGGAC